CGACCUUACUUGAACAGGAUCUGUUCUAUAGGAUCGUACAUCUGUAUCCUUUAGCACAAAGGAGACAGGAACCCAAACCUGGUGGAUGAAUAAGGACCAUGCGAUCAGAGCGUGAUUGACGGUUUGGUUGGACCCUUGGGUCUAACGUAGCUGUAAAGGAUCGUUCCUUCAUUACCUAGCUUUGAAGGUUGGUCGCAUGGUUGUCUGACAGGCUCAUAAUUUUUUUGCUUUGUUUUUUAAUCCUUUAAUUGCGUUUGCUUCUCAUAAUUAGGAUCGUUCCUUCAUUGCCUUGCUUUGAAGGUUGGUCGCAUGGUUGUCUGACAUUCUAAUAUAUUUUUUGCUUUGUUUUUUAAUCCUUUAAUUGCGUUUGCUUCUCAUAAUUUUUUUUUGCUUUGUUCUUUAAUCCUUUAAUUGCGUUUGCUUAUAGCUUUGUUUUUUAAUCCUUUGAUUGCGUUUGCUUCUCAUAAUUCUUUUGCUUUGUUCUUUAAUCCUUUAAUUGCGUUUGCUUAAUUUGCUUAUAUUUUUGUGUUUUUUUAUUUUAACUUAAUUAAAAAUUUAUUUGAAGUUACAUCCCAUCAAUUUAAUAGACAUGAUUACAAUGGUACAAAAUUAUGAAUAUAAUUAUUAUUAUCUAUUUGUACAUCUUUGCGUUGCAAAACUUUUGUCUUUGUAAGAAAUUUUGAUUUUAAUUACUUUUAUCUGGAGAAAUAAUCUCCUUCAUGUGUACUAUUUUCAGUCCUCUGUUCUCCUUCGGCAAUAAAGGAGGGUUAUGAUCACCUAAGGAGUCAUUUGAUAUUAGGUCUCGCAAAAAUAUUCCAACCUACUAGUUUAUUAAGCUUAUCAGAUAAAACAUAGCUUAAGAAAAUUGAGAAUCCAAUUUACAAAAAUUGGGAUUAUCAAGAAAACAUAUUACUUUUGCCAAACGAAAAAUUGGGAUUAUCAAGAAAGGCAUUAACUUUCAACUUCAUGUUAUAUUGAAACAUAUUCUUAUCAAUUUUUCUCCUGCUAAAAACUCUUUCUUUUUAAAGAAAAAAAAACGCAUAUACUACAAGAAUUAAUAUCGAUUCAAUUUUUUUUUUUUUUUUUACUGGAUUGUACAUAAAUUGUUUUAGCACCUUACUUUUGCCAAACGAAAAAUUAAAAUUAUCAAGAAAGCCCUUAAACUUUUUACUUCAUGUGAUUUUGAGAUUGCUCUUAGUAAAUUUAUUCUUCCUAGAAAAUUCUUUCACUUUGAAGAAAAGAAAAUAUAUACGCUAUAAAAAUUAAUUUCGAUUCAAUUUUUUUAUUAAUGGUUUUUUGAUUUGAUUGUACAUAAAUUAUUUUAGCAUUACUUUUGCGAAGCGAACAAUCAGGAUUAUCAAGAAAGCCCAUGAACUUUUUACUUCAUGUGAUAUUGAGACUGCUGUUAUCAAUUUUUUUUUCUUGCUCGAAAACUCUUUCUUUUUAAAGAAAAAAAAUAUAUACUAUAAAAAUUAAUAUUCUAUUCAAUUUUUUAUUAAUGUUUUUUUGACUGGAUUGUACAUAUUUUUUUUUUUUAGCACGUUGUUUUGCCAAACAAAAAAUCGGGAUUAUCAAGAAAGCUCAUAAACUUUUUACUUUAUGUGAUAUUGAGAUUGCUCUUAUCAGUUUUACUCUUACCGGAAAACUCUUUCUUUUUGAAGAAAAGAAUAUAUAUAUAUAUAUAUAUUUAUUAAUGUUUUCUUGACUAGAUUGUAAAUAAAUUGUUUUAGCACGAUACUUUUGUGCCAAACGAAAAAUUGGGAUUAUCAACUAAGCCCUUGAACUUUCUACUUCAUGUGAUAUUGAGAUUGAUUUUAUCAAUUUUCCUCUUGCUCAAAAACUCUUUCUUUUUGAAGAAAAGAAAAUAUAUAUAUACUAUAAAAAUUAAUUUCUAUUCAAUUUUUUCAUUAAUGUUUUUUUGACUGGAUUGUACAUAAAUUGUUUUAGCAUAUUAUAUAUAACUUUAUGGAAAAGAAAUUGAUAGGAUUGAAUCAUUAAUGGCUUGAAUUAUGAGGCAGAAACUCAAUAAUAUUUUAUUUGUAUAUAUUUAAUUUCAUCCACUUAUUAGGGGUAUAAUUCGGACGAUAUGGAAUAAAAUAACUCUCAUUUCAAUUCCGUUCCAAAAUAUUUUGUAAUUUAAAAUUACAUUCCAUUCCAUUCCAAAUAUUUUUAAGAAUUUAAAAUUUUAUUCCAACUAUUCCACCGAAAUUCGGUUUGGAAUUCGGUAGUUCCCAAUUUCUCAACCAUAAUAUGAAUCUAACAUAUUAUAGUAUUUUAUAAGAUGUAAAUUUUAAAUUUAAUAAGGAAUAAUCACCAUAUUUUCAUAUAUACAUACUAAAAAGACAUAAUUAAAAUUUUAAAAUGAUAAAUUAAUAUCACAUAUAACUAAACUUAAAAUAUUUAGUAUAGUGACAGUGAUUUUCGCAAGUGUACGAAAUCGCAACAAGUAAUAUAGAAUGAGCAGAGGGACGUAUCAAUAGGGAUUGUAUACCAAGUAUCAAAAUUAUGUUAACCUAUUAGUAUUUAAACGGCAAUAAGGGGGUUAUUUUAAAAAAAAUAAAUUAAAUAAAUAAAAGAGAACAAAAAAAAAAUCAAGCAACAAUAUUUGACAAAAAGAAAUCAAGAAUUUAAAGCUACUAGGAAUUUUGACUUCACUUAAUUCUAUCCAAUUUAUUCUAUUAGUUUGAUAAUCAAUUUUAAUUGUUUAUGUAUGAGAAACAACUCUAAAAUCACUAACAAGCUCCCGAUGUAUUGUUAGCUAUUUUAACCCGGUCUAAUUACCUAUCUUCCAAUAGCGCAAUCAAACAUGAAUUAAAUCAUUAAAUUUUAUGGUUUGUUUUGUGAAUUCAUAACUUAAGGUCAUUAACUUAUAAAAACCCCCCAUUGAGUCAAACCAUAUAGCUUCCGCAUCAAGUUAUUAUUCUCAUGUNNNNNNNNNNNNNNNUGUAAUUUAUUACCCUAUUCAUAUCAAAAACCCUUCUCCCGAUAGUAAUUAAUGAAAUAAUCAAUCCAAAGGAGAAACUCUGCUUAGAAGCAUUAAGUUCAAUAAUAAAUUAUAUCAUAAACAAAGAAGAACAAAUCUAAUAUUAUAAAUUGGAAUCAAAAUUAAGCUACAUCAAAUCCCUAGUAUGAGAAUUUUAGUUCAACAUAGUAAUUAAAUAAAACUCAAUUAAACUUGUAAAUGAUUCCAUAACGAAUAACAAACAAAAAGAGUGUUUAGAAAUAAAAACUAGUCAACGAUAGGCUUGAACAGCUUUCUUGAAUUUUGACACCAACUUGAAUGCUUGAAGCCUUAGAGAGAGAAGAGAACUAUGUAGAAAAUAAUAGAACAAGAGAUCGAAUAUAUAAUGAAUGACUCCUCUCUUUAUAUAGAUUUUCUAGGAGAAAAUCCGACUUCGUUUAGGAAAUAGAAUCUUUAUUAAGUAAGAAAUCUUUUUGGAGAUAGGAAACUGUUUAGGUUUUAGAUUUCUUCUCAAUUAGGACUCUUCCAUCUACCUAAAUAGGAUUAGAUCUUAAUUUGUACGUCAGGAAAAUAUCUGAGGUGGGCACAUGCAAGUGGUAGGGAUUGGUUGGCGUUUUCAACUCAAAACAACAAUUGAUUUUUAGCAUGGGUGUGCUGUGAGGCAUGGGCAGGGCAUGCUAGAGCCUGAGUGUUUUGCCUUAUUUUGCACUUUUCUGUGUCAAAAUCCUACAAAUUUCCUUAAGAUUAAGCAAAUUAUGUUUCAAGGAAGCUUUGAACAAAAAUAUGAAUAAAACUAAAUAAAAACUAAUAAAAGUAAUUAAAACUACUAAAAAAUCCUAAUAAAAAAUAUAUUAAAAUUACUCCAAAAAUACACUUAUCAUAUAGAUAGUGGCUAGGUAUGUUUUACUCUUGUCCUCAAGCAACAAAACUAAAAACAAAAAGAAAAAUACAAGCUAAACAAACUAAACAAAGCUAGCUUAAUAUGGUUGGGGAUAAUUAUUCACAAUUUCAAAAGUAUCAAAAAUCAUUAACAUGUGAAAUACAUCAAGUGUUUCCCAUGCUAAUUAUAUUCUAGCAAAAAUUCAAUUUCCAAUGAAACACAUUCCUUAAUUUAAACAUAAGUNNNNNNNNNNNNNNNNNNNNNNNNNNNNNNNNNNNNNNNNNNNNNNNNNNNNNNNNNNNNNNNNNNNNNNNNNNNNNNNNNNNNNNNNNNNNNNNNNNNNNNNNNNNNNNNNNNNNNNNNNNNNNNNNNNNNNNNNNNNNNNNNNNNNNNNNNNNNNNNNNNNNNNNNNNNNNNNNNNNNNNNNNNNNNNNNNNNNNNNNNNNNNNNNNNNNNNNNNNNNNNNNNNNNNNNNNNNNNNNNNNNNNNNNNNNNNNNNNNNNNNNNNNNNNNNNNNNNNNNNNNNNNNNNNNNNNNNNNNNNNNNNNNNNNNNNNNNNNNNNNNNNNNNNNNNNNNNNNNNNNNNNNNNNNNNNNNAAAAAUUAUAGAUACUUUGGCAAGGUCUUUUCAUAAUACUUUGAUAAUUUCUUCCUUGUUUAAUUCUCCAAACUUAAAUUCUUGAUCGAUUGCUUCUUUUAUGGGGUGUUCCUCUUUGUUUUUAUACUUGCUUCACUUGCUAGUAUUAAUGAAAUUUUUCUCCCUUUUGUUUCUAUGUUUUAACAGAAAUCAAAUCUUUCAAUUAUACAUUAUUGCACUUAGGGUAGGAAAUUAAGUUGGUUCAAUGGCUAGGUUUAAUAAAGGUAAAUAAGAAAAAUUUUGGGUAUAGAUUUCAAAUUGGUUGCAAAAGUCAUAUUUUAACUUAGGUGGCCUAGGCUAAAAAUAAAGUUCAACAAAGAAUGCGAAUACCUAAAUCAUCUCUUUCUAAAUGUAAGCAUUUAAAAAUUUUGUCUCAAUGGGAAUUCUAAUUUGUUUUAAGAAUACCAAGGUUAAAUAAAUUUUGAUUAAAACAUAUCUAUAUAUCAUAAAAUUCACAAAAAUUAGUAUUUAUAAUCUUAGAAACAAAUAGUUAAACCAAAGAAUCAUGUUAAGUUAAAAAUUAAAAUUAAAGCUCAAACAAACUAGACUAGAAAAACAACUAAAUUUAUCACGAGUUACUAAAUUAUGAUAAUUUUCAAGCUUGUUCACAAUUAUUCCAACCAUAUUAAGCUAGUAAAAACAAACAAAAAAACUAAAAUUUUAACUAAAAUUUUCCUUCCCCCAACUUAAUCUAGCACAUCGUCCCUAAUGUGUGCAAAAAAUAAGAUCAUUUCCCUAAACUUAUCAUAUAUUAUCAAAACAAGGUAUAAAAAUAAAAUAGAUUUGAGAACACAUUACCACCAUUGUGUUGAAAAAUACAAUAAAAGACAAGGAAACAAAGGGCAUAGUUCCAAUGGCUAAAUUCUGAAAAUGAAAAAGAACAACAUAACAAAAUAAUAAUAAUAAUAAUGAUAAUAAUAUAGACAUAAUUGUUCGGGGAAAAAACACAUCGAAAUAAAAAUAAUAAAAAAAUGGAAAGGAAAAUUCCAAUAAAAAUAAUUAAAAGCAAUUAAAAAAAAUAAAAAAUAAAUAAAAAAAGAAAAAAAAAACAAUAGAAUGAGUACGUCAAAAUAAAAGAGAAGGAAAAAAAGAAGAAAAAAAAAGUAAAACAAACAAAAAAAUGAACUUACGUCAAAAUAAAAGAGAGAAGGAAAAAAAAAAAAAAAAAAAAAGAAAUUGCUUAAAAAAAAAAAAUCUGCAGCCUAGCCUGGGGUGUUGUGUAGCACGGGGGUACUGCUAGGGGGUGCUGUGUAGCACAAGGGUGCUGGGUAGCACACCCUGAGGGUGCUAGAGCCUGACUAUAGGCGUAAUUUUCUCUGGAGAUAGGAUGGGGGUGCUGGGUAGCACAGCCUGAGCCUACUAAAGCCUGACUCUGGCACUUUCAAUCAGUUUUCAAGCCUUUUUAAUCCUUCCUUGACCUGCAACAUGAGUGUAAAACACCAAAAUAAAAGAAAAUAAUGGUUUAAAGAUAGGGAAAAAAAUGAAAAUAUACAAAUAAAAAUAAUUUUUGUCAAAGGAAAAGAAAGAAAAUAAUGGGUUGCGUCCCAUUAGCGUUUUGUUUAAAGUCCUUUAAACUCGACUUUUGAGAAGUUUAUUAAAUAACGGCUUUCGCCCAUGGUAUGUAUCAUGUAAUAUCACACAUGGGUUUUGGUUGAAAAUGCCCUCAAGAUUGGGGGUCUUGGUUGAAAAUGCCCUCAAAAUUGGCUAGUUUAGGAAAAUUUAUGCUCGUCUUAUCAACAUCUCGCUUUAAAUGAUGAGCUUGGGGAAAAAACUGUACUAAAUCAUGGAGAACACAAUUUAUUGAAGGUGGUAUCAUUGGAAAGAAAGAAUCUUCCGGUAGUGUAUGUAUAAAAACUGUUGAUAAGCUUAAAUCACUAGUCUCAAUUAUUUCUUCAUCCACCAAUAUUGCUUGCUGCUUGUGGUCAUUGAAAAUUUCACCCAAUACCCUUUCUAAUUGUACCUCACCUUUUUCAUGGUCAUUAAUAAUCAUGUCUGGAAACAAGAAAUUGAGAUUUAAUCCAGCUUCAAAGGAGUUGCAUUCUUCACAUGUAGGCUUUACUUCUUCUAAAGGUAAAAUUUCUCAUGAAGUUUCCUCAUAAUUUACCUUGCACUCAUCAUCUUGAUAUCCAUUAGUUGCCAUGGUUAUCAAUUUCGCUGCUUGUACCUUCAAAUUCUUUAUUGCCGCUUGUCGAAUCUUAAAACUCUCGCGAGUUUCAUUCAUAAAUUCUAUGUAAGAUUUAAUAAGGGCAACAAUCAAAUCCUCUAAAUUCUUUUGCUUAUCAUCUUCAUACUCAAAAUUUGGAAGGUAUUGGUGAUUCCAACCCUACAGUAAAGGAUCCCAAUGCCAAUUGUACUCAAAAUCAGCCAUAUCAUUUAACAUGUAAAGUACAUCUUCAUAGCUACUUUCCAGAAGGUGAAUACUGGUUGCCAAAAAUCCAUUAUCCACCCAACUUCUAGUUUCUUCAUCUAAUCCACAUUAGAAUAUGUAAGCGAGAUAUUUAUUUGUAAAAUUAUGAUAAGGAAAAUCUCUCCAACAAUUCGUUAAAUCUUGCCCAAGCGACAUAAAAUGGCUCGGGAUGUUGUUGAAUAAAACUUGCGACUACUUGUUGAUGAAACAUUUCAAAAUACUUCGCAAGAAAAUAAUGAAAAAAAUUGAUAAAAUAAAAUAAAUUAAAAAAACUACAAAUAAAAUAAACAAAUAUUUCAUUUAACCUCAAAAAACAUUGUCUAAAUUAAUAAUAGGUUAACUAGUAUUGAUAUUGGUAACGCCAAUCCCCGGCAACAGCGCCAAAAACUUAACGGUGAUUUUCACAAGUGUGUGAAAGCGCAACAAGUAAUAUAAAACGAGUAGAGUAUCGUAUCCAUAGGGAUUGUAUACCAAGAAUCAAAAUUAUGUUAACCUAUUAUUAUUUAAACGGCAAUAAGGGGGAUUAUUUAAAAAAAUUAAAUUAAAUAAAUAAAAGAGAACAAAAAGAAAUCAAGCAACAAUAUUUGACGAAAAGAAAUCAAGAAUUUAAAGCUACUAGGGAUUUUGACUCCACUUAAUUAUAUCCAAUUUAUUCUAUUAGUUUGAUAAUCAAUUUUAAUUGUUUAUGUAGGAGAAACAACCCUAAAAUCACUAACAAGCUCUCCCGAUGUAUUGUUAGUUAUUUUAACCUGGUCUAAUUACCUAUCUUCCAAUAGCGCAAUCAAACAUGAAUUGAUUAAACAUGAAUUAAAUCAUUAAGUUUUAUGGUUUGUUUUGUGAAUUCAUAAACUAAGGUCAUUAACUUAUGAAAACCUCCAAUGAGUCAAACCAUAUAGCUUCCGCGUCAAGUUAUUAUUCUCAUGUAAUUUAUUACCUUUUUCAUAUCAAAAACCCUUCUCCCGAUAGUGAUUAAUGAAAUAAAUCAAUCUAGGGGAGAAAUUUUGCCUAGAAGCAUUAAGUUCAAUAAUAAAUUAUAUCAUGAACAAAGAAAAACAAAACUAAUAUUAUAAAUUGGAAUCAAAAUUAAGCUACAUCAAAUCCCUAGUAUGAGAAUUUUAGUUCAACAUAGUAAUUAAAUAAAAGUCAAUUAAAUUUGUAAAUAAUCCAAUAAAGAAUAAUAAACAAAAAGAGAGUUUAGAAAUAAAAACUAGUUAACGAUGUGCUUGAACAGCUUCCUUGAAUUUUAACGCCAACUUGAAUGCUUGAAGCCUUGGAGAGAGAGAAAGAGAGAGAACUAUGUAGAAAAUAAUAGAAUAAGAGAUCGAAUAUAUAAUGAAUGGCUUCUCUCUUUAUAUAGACUUCUUGGGAGAAAAUCCGAUUUUGUUUAGGAAAUAGAAUCAUCAUUAAGUAAGAAAUCUUUUUGGAGAUAGGAAACUAUUUAGGCUUUGGAUUUCUUCUUAAUUAGAACUCUUUCAUCUGCCUAAAUAGGAUUAGAUCUUGAUUUGUAAGUCAGGAAAAUAUCUCAGGUGGGCCCAUGCAAGUGGUAGGGACUGGCUUGCGUUUUCAACGCAAAACAAUAAUUGAUUUUUAGCACUGGCAUGCUGUAAGGCACGGGCAGGGCGUGCUAGAGCCUGAGUGUUUUGCCUUAUUUUGCACUUUUCUAUGCCAAAAUCCUACAAAUUUCCUUAAGAUCAAGCAAAUUAUAUUUCAAGGAAGCUUUGAAUAAAAACAUGAAUAAAACUAAAUAAAAACUAAUAAAAGUAAUUAAAACUACUAAAAAAUCCUAAUAAAAAAUAUAUUAAAAUUACUCCAAAAAUACACUUAUCAUAUAGAUAGUGGCUAGGUAUGUUUUACCACUAACAUUUAAUAAUUCAGUUCAUAUAAUUCACAACUUAAUAAUUAAUAAUAUUAUUACCAUUAUUAUAAAAUCAACAAAAGAUAAUACCUUUCAUAUUAUGAUAAAUCAAUAUAUAUAGUCACCAUAUCCAUUAAAAAGUGUUAAAUCCACGAAAAAUAUAUAUUAUGAGUCUAAGCAUACUAAAAUAUUUCGUAAGUAAGAUAUUAUAACUAAAAUCAUACUUUUCAAUACAAAGACAGUAUGUAUGAGUAUUCAAGCAUGUAGUAUAUAUUAAUUACUAAUUAGGGUUAGGGUUAAAAUAUUCUACAUAGAAGUUUUAUAAUAUAAAAAAAACAUAUUUUACCAUAAUCUUUAAUUUAAUAUUUUAUUUUAAAACAUAUAAUUACAAACUAAAGAAUAAUAAAAUAAAAAUUCGGUAUAUUGAUUGGAAUAUAAAAAUUUUUUUUUUUUUGUUUCUAUUCCAUAUUUUAUAUUUUAAAAAUUACAUUCCAUUUUAAAUUCCAUAUUCUAAAAUUCCAUUCCAAAUUAAAAUUUGGUUUGAAAUUUCGAUUUGAAUUGGAAUAUUCCUAUCCAAGUUCCACUCCUACCACUUAUAGCUAAUAAGUUUGAAUUUUAGAUUUUAUUAUAGCUCAUGAAAAAUUAUUGAACAUUAUUUUAAUCGCCGUAGCAAUAAUGUCAACGGUGUAAAGAUUGUAAUUCAUAGUUGAUAUACUUGUCAUAAGAGAAAAUAAAAUAUUUAAUUAUAUUAUAUUAUAUGCUAUAAAUGAUUAUAAAGAAUUUUUAGUUCCUAAAAAUAUUUGACUUUGAAACCCCCAAUUUUGUUUGAGAUUUUUUGAAACAACCAAAUUUGUUUGGGAAUAGCGGAGGUAAAAAUGAAGCCCAAUCUAAUACAACAAAGAUCCAGCCAAGUCAUUUAAGAAGCAGCAUUAGGAAGAGCUCGAAAUUCAGCUUCAGUGGAGAAGCGACAUACAACUUGUUGUUUUUUAGAUGACUAAUAGACUAGAUUAUUAUAAAAAAAAUAGCAAAAUUAGAAAUUGAUUUACAAUCAUCUAAUGAUCUUGCCCAAUCUAAAUCAAUAUAGCUAUGUAGUCAAUAAGAAAAAGUGCGAUAAACCAACAAUCCAUGAGAAGAAGUAGCUUGUAAAUAAUGCAAAAUCAUUUUAAUAGUAGCCCAGUGUUGCUCAGUCAGAUCACAUAUUGAUACAAGUUUCUAAAUAUGUACACUUUUCUAAACUAAAUAUAAUACAAUAUUCCCUAUCAGCUUCCUUCCUUAAGACUUAAUUCAAAUGAACAUUUUGAUUUCACUAAGAUGAUUGAACUUGGUGCUUAAACAAAGCACCACACCAGAAAAAAUUGAACAAGCACUAUUUUGGCAUGUUCAAUUUUAUUUCAAGCUAAAUCUGUUUAUAGAUCGUUUUAAGCUCAAUUGUUAUGGUUUGGUUCAAUUUUUCUAUCAAUUUAAUCGAAUUGUUUUAGUUGAAUUCAAUUUAUUAUUUAUGUUUAUUCAAUUCGAUUCAAUUAUUGCAGUUUCACUAUUUAAUUAUUUAUAUUUAAGAUUAAUUCAGUUUCGUUGAAUUGAACGCUGACCCUAACAAAUUGCAACAUGUGUCCAUAUUAUAUAUGGUAAAGGUAAUACAUCUACAAAAACAAAACUAUUUAGCCAAAAUUAUUCCUCCCUCCGUUCUAUUUAGAUAAGAAAAGUUGAAUUUGUACAAGAAUUACUGUGACGGUUGAAAUGUAAUUUUGACUAUUUUUUUCUUAAUAUACCCCCGACACAACAUUAACUUCCACCCUUAUUUUUAUGUAAGUCCAUGUAUAGAUGAGAGAGAAAAUGGAUGUAUUAAUUUAGUUACAUUAAUCAAGGAGUGAUUUUGGCGUAUCUAAGAACAUUAAUUAGAAGUGGGAAUUAGCCUAUUGUAAUUGAAGUAGACUUUGAAAUUAUUAAGGAAAAGCAGCAAUUCUGAGCCAAAUUGCAAAUUUGUUCACAUAUUGAUAUUUAGUGCCUGAGUAUCCUUUAGAAUAUGUCUGCAGUUUAGUUAUUUGUGGUGUACUUUAUGAAUACAUUUAUGUGCUUACUUAUACAAUAAGGGCAAAGUAGUCUUUUUAAAUUGGCAUUUUCUCAAAUUAUUAAAUGGAGUAAUUUUUUCUAUCUAGGUAGAACACUCAAAAUGGAAACUUUUUUAUCUAAAUAGAACAGAGAAAGUACCAUUUACUGUAGGAUAGACUUCCAAUUGGGAAUCAAUUUAAAACUUAUCUGAUGAAGUGAUUUAUGACAAUUGAAAGCUACAUAUUUUGUUAGUACCUAUUAAUUAAUGUUAAUUGGGACUCGUAAAAACAUAGCCUAAUUAAGAUUUUAGUAAAACUAAUAAUAGCUAUUCCUAUAUAUGGAUACGUUAAAGUAAAAAUAGUGAAUUAUAUAUAUAUAUUUUUUAAUAAGUUAAAUAUCUACUACCCAAAAUCCAAAAUUAACUGAAAAUGGACUUCUUUGGGACCUUUAAUAUAUAUAUAUAUAUAUAUAUCAACACUCUAUGAUCUAUUAAAAGCAAAUUAGAAUAACAGCCAUAUGCUGCAUUUAGUAAUUUACUAAUAUUUUUAUGUUUGUUCGGGUUACAAUAGUUGUAAAACUAAUGACCAAAAAAUAAUUACAAGGUUCUAAAAUUAGGGUUACUCACCUAUAAAAUAAAGAAAAAGUCUAAGCCCAUUAACAGAAACCACACCACACAGAAUAAACCCUAGAAACUGUUUCCUUAUUUAGGGCAAUGGAUUCUCAGGGGAUCAUUUGGGUUUUUUCCACAAUUUUUCUAUGUCUCCUGUUGCAUUUUCCUUUUGAAAUAGAGGCAACAUCAAGAAAUGAAUUAUUGAAUGAUGUAUGUCAUCAAAGUCCAGAUGACAAAUCUUGCAUAAAAGCUCUGAAAUCAGACCCCAAAAUAAGUAGAGUUUCAAAUUUAAAGGGCUUAACGAAUGUUGCUCUAGGAGAAGCAAGAGAAGAAUCAAUUGCCACAAAAAAGUUCUUUAUUUCUCUUAAAGAUAGCUCUGACCCAAAAGUGAAAAAAGCUCUUAAGGAGUGUGCUAAAUAUUUUGGUGAAGCUAAGUCUAUGCUUAAUCUCGACGGACUCGAAGGUGACACUGCCAGUUUAGAUGUUCAUUACGCUCUUGAUAGUUGUGAGCAAUGCGAAAAUGCAUUAAAAGAGGCCAAUGUUCAUAUCGGAGCAAUUGCUCCUCAUAUUAAGAGAUGGAAGGACUCUUAUAAUGUUGCUUACGCAGCUGUAGUAGCUACUGAAAAUUCAGAAACUAUUACUUGAUUAUAAUCUUGCAAUUAGUGUGAUCAAUUCAAUAUUAAGUAUGAUUAAUUAAUUGAUGUUGUCAUUCUCUAAUUAUUUUUAUCUAAUCUUUUUAUCAUGUAUUUUAUUAAAUAUGUUUUUACAUGUUAUGUAUAUGUAUAGAUUAGGAGAGGAAAAUUAGAACUUGAAUCUUUUACUACCCGAUAUGAACUUACUGUUAAACGACUUAAUUUAAUCAAAUCAAAUCAAAUCAAAUCUUUCUAGUCAUUCCAAUCCAAAAUAAAAAUUAUAAUUUAGUCAUAUUUGUGAUUUGGUUUGGUUUUGAAUCAUAGUUGAACCAAUAUUGUUGUUUUGAAGUACUUAUUAAUACAUUUUGUUUUUUUUUUUUUAAUGUAUAAUAAUACUUGUUCAUCAUCUUCAUAUGUGAAUUAACAAAAAGUUGAAAUGAAACUACAUGUUAUAUAAUGGUCAUGCUAUAUAAUACUUGUUUAUCACUUCUAUAAUGUAAUGCACACUAUUUUAAUUCAUAAAACAACUUUCCAAAGUUGUUCUUUUAUCUCAUAUUGUUUUCGGAAAGACUUUGAAAUUUUCUUAUUAACCCUUCUAACUUUAACUUCUAGAUUCUAAAAUUGCUCUUAAGUUUAAGACAUGUAUACAUCAAAAAAUAUUUUCAUAUUGUAUUUGAACGACAAGGAAAGAUCGGAUGCAUAAACCACGGUUUAUCUUUUGUCUCCUCAAUUUCUGUUUUUCAUUCCUUGUUCAUCGAUCAAAUUUAAAAUCAAAUCCAAUAAAUACAAUUUUUAUUAAUUUUGAUUUGCAAUGUGCUUAAAAUAAAAUUAAAAAUGUUUUCACUUGUUUAUGGAAUUUAGAUGAAUUUUAUAUUGUUAUGAUUAAUUUAUGUGCUUUGGAUUUCUUCAAUUGUCCAAAUCAAAUAAAUUAGGGCGAUAAUAUUAUUUCCUUUCCUUAAAGCCAAGAGAAAUUUGUUAACAUAAUUUCCUUUUCUUUUUCCAAUUCAUUCAAAGACCUAACAGCUGAAAUAAAACUGCAGGCUAUAUAACUAAAAACUUAAUCAGCCGAAAUAACAUUGUGGGCUAUAUAAUUGAGGUAAUCCACCCUUUAGUUCAUCAAAUUGAUGAAAACUGUUAUGAUUGAAAGAAUUCGAAUUCAAGACCAAUUAAAUGAAAUAUCAAUGAAAAUAAAAGUUUGUUUAGAUUCAAAGUAGAACUCAAAUCCACCGACCUAAGUACAACUAUCCAGCACCACUAAACUACCAAGGAUUUAUGCACUAAAAAGAAAUUAUAGAAGCCAAGGGGCGGUGGCUCCCAUGCCCCCCUCCCUCUAUUAAUGGAGACAUGUUAAUGUUUUAAUAAUUAUUACUUCUUCCGUCCCAAUUUAUUUGCAUGGUUUGAUAAAAUAUACAUAUUAAAAAUUCAGUCAAUAAAAAUCAUUUAGUCAUUUUUUACCCUAAACUCAUUAAGAUAUUAAUAAAAGUCCUUCAUUUAAGGACAAUCAUAAAAACAAUUUUUUUAAAAUAUAUAAAUUUAAAAACCUUCUAAACAUUUUGGGAUACUUAAAAAAAAAGAAUAAUGAGCAAAUAAAAUGGGACGGAGGAGAGUAUUUAUAAUAAGGAUGGUGUUAUCUUCAAAAAAAAGCAUACUUUGUUACUUCCAUAACAAAGUUUACGAUUUGGGUAAAACUGUCAAAUAUAAUUUUUUGUUGUUUGAACAAUUCAUUCAUAGUACACUGUACUAAAACAGAAACUCCAACAAACUUUCUAUAUUAAGCUUGAUUCUCUCCUAUAUAAUACUUUGAUAGCCAAAACCUCCAAAGAAAAAAAAAAUAGCUAAUACACUUUCUCUUGUCAAGAAGAAAAAACUAAUAAACCUUCUAAGGUAAUUAAAAAUGGGUUUUCGAUUCUUCCUCUUCUUUUCCUACAUGAUUUUCAUGUGUCUCUUUCUCAAUUUUCCCUCAAAAACAGAGGCAAAAACUCCAUUUUCUACACAUCAAAACAAGUUAUUACUAGAAGUUUGCAAGCAAAGUGAGCAAUUCAAAUUUUGCAUGCAACUCUUGCAAUCCAAGCCAAGAAUAUCAACAGCCAAAAAUAUAACCACUGUGGCAAAUUAUGCCCUAGCAUUGACAAGAAAGAAAUCUGUUAUUACCCGUAAUUUCUUUAACAGGCUUGAUGGAGCGAAGAAGAAUGUCGUGUUUGAGGAAUGCGCAAAUUAUUUUAAUGAAACAAUAGGAAUGCUUAAUUUAGAUGGACUUGAAGGCGGCACUGCAAGUUUAGAUGUUCAUUAUGCUCUAGAUAAUUGUGAGUAUUGUGAAAAUGUUUUGGAUUCGGCUAAGAUUCGCAGUAAAUCAAUUUCUGCUCAAAUAAAUCAGUGGAAGAAAUACUAUUAUGUUGCAUAUGCAACUGUUAUUGUUCUUGAAGAUGAAACUCCUACAGGACCUUAAUUAUGACAUGAUGAUCAAAGAUUUUUCAAAAUCUGAUCUUCAUUAUGUAUUUCUUCUUUGCAAUUAUUAUCAAUAAAUUUAGAAAAGUUCCUUCUCUGUUCAUCUGUAUUCUUAUCAUAUUUUUUAUUAGUUUUUUUUUUUUUGUGUAAACCACAGGUAUCCAAACCCCAUUAUCAAUGACCGUUUAAUCCAGCUCGAGACUUAAUUACAAUUAGUAAAAAAUUAUUUUUGCUCACAUAAACUGUGAAUAUAGUAAUGGUGUGAGCAGGAUAAUUUAAUGCUUGAUAUCAGUAGGAUUUUGUUUAUAUUGAAACAAUAAUUAAAAGUACCACUUUUCAAAAGACUAAAAUUAUUUUCUUGAUUUUCUGAUGCAAAAUAUUUUCUUAAUUAAGGAAAAUCAUUUAUGCAAAUAUAUAGUUUUUUAAUAAAGAGGAAAAGUUUUCCAAAUAUUGACAAAUUUAGUAUAACAUAAGAAAAAUUUAUAAACACAGAUCCAUUAAUUUAUUAAUUACCAUUAGUCAUUAUCAUCGACUAUCACUAAUAAAUUAUCAACGACCAGUCAUAUACGAUUGUCAAAAUUUAAAAAUUUUAUAUAUUUUUCUAAUAUUUAGCAAUAACAUUUUCUAAUAUGAAGGUUUUAUAACACAAAAUAUUUUCUCUAAGGGAGAAUUACAAUUUAGUCCCUCGGUUAUGAUCAAAUACACUACUACGCUCUUACUUUUUUCAAAAUACAUUCUUAUAUCCCUAAUUUUUUUAUCCAUCCAACUCAAGUCCUUCUGUUAAUUUUUAAGGUUUUUGUGAUUAAUUGGUAUUAAAAAGACGAAAAUAUCUUGCAUAUUUUUUUAUUUCUCUCACAUUAAUCAGCCAUAAUAAACAAUUCCCAUAUACAACUCCAUCUACCAGUCAAAAAAAAAAAAAAAUCCAUCUAUAUUUUAAACGCAGCCCACCAAAUAUACAAUAAAUACAAUAAAGGAAAAAUAAGAUCUAAAAUAACAAUCAAUCUUCAAAAGGAAACGCAGCGAAAAAGAUAUGCAGGUUAUUCUUUUUAGAUACUUUUCUUGAAAGUAAACUAAAAUUAUAUUAACCAAGAAUAAUGAAAGUAAAUAAAACUUCUUGAUAGCUAAAGUAAAUAAAAACUUGCUUAGAUAAAAUAGUUAUAUAUAUGGGGGUGAUAUUCAUAAUUAAGAUAGGACAAAACUUCAAUAAUAGGAUUGUAAUUUGUAAUUAAGAUAUGACAAAACUUCUAUAAUAGGACAUUAAUUUAAAAUUUUAAUUCAUGUAGAACUUUUUAAUAGUCUUUUAUUUUAUUUUGUAGCUAUAGAAUUUAGAGUUAAUAGAAAUUAAUAUAAUCAAUUAAAUUAAAAUUACCUUUAUUUUUUCAACCUAUAAAAUAAGAUCUUUAAAUAUAUUUUUAUUUAACUAUAAUUUUAUUUAUAUACAAUAUUUAAUGCUAAUAUAUAAAUUAGUUACAUAAAGUGGAAAUAUCCGUAGUUGCCAAUUUUCAUUUCUAACUAUUGUCAUAUAUAUUUUUGUCAAGUACAUUAGUAAAGAUCCCAGUUUUCAUUACACUAUUUAAUCUCUGCAUUAUAAUUUUGUUACACUAUUAUGUCUUACAAUUAAAUUUUUCAUUAAGUGGUUGUGAAAAAUCAAAAACUUAAGUAGAAUUAUCAUAUAGGGACUAAAUAGUGUAAAAUUAUGAAAGUUGAGGUUCUUAUUAGUGUUUCACCAAACUAUAAGAACUACAUGGUAAUUAUCUUUGGCCAAAUGUAUAAAAUUCCCCUUUGAACUUUUUCAUUUUAACCAUUUGUCAACUUUAACUUUGCGGGUGACCUAGUGUGCCCUUAACUUUUAAAUUUUGUAGCUAUUAUACCCCUUGCCAAGCUGUAAAGGUAGUCGUGAAACCAAAUAUGAAAUGGAGCAUGAUCACCUGAUUAAAAGUCUAGCAUAGUAAAAACGAAUUCGUUUUUCUCUCUAUUCCAAAGCAUCAGUUUUCCUUUUCAAUCUCUCUCUUCAUUUUUCUCUCUCUACUCCUCUCCUUUCAAUCUCUUUCUUUGUUUUUCUCUCUCUAUUCUUCUCCUUCUCAAUCUUUCAACAGAUAUCUCUUUAAUUGUAUGUUUCUUCUUCUUCUUUUCAAUUUUCUCUUCUUCUCCUCCUUAAUUUCGUUACAAUAAAAUUUCUGAAAUUUUAAUUUUGGACCUUAAAAUCUCUAAAAUCAAUUUUUUGCAGCUCAGCACCUCCCCCAUUGUUGUGCUACACAGGUUGAAAGUGAAGAGAGAGAGAGAGAAUGGGCAAAGAGGCAAUGGCAGCAAGUUUGGUUCGAUCGAAAAGUGGAGAGGGAGGAGUCGAAAGUGGAGAGAGAGAAGUCGGUGUUGGCCGGACACAAGCGGUGAUCGAAAAAAAAUAAAUAAAAACGGAGGGGGAAGGUUGUGCACAAUCAGAGAGAAUGGAGAAGAUAAAUUUAGGUUAGGGCUUGUUUGAGUUGAUUAAAGAUCGGUUUGGCCCAAAGCAUGAAUUGUUACUUUAUUUUUUAAUUGUUUUAAGGAUUUCUAAUGGGUUUUAAUUGGUUUAGCACAUAUAAAUGUCACGUGAAAUAAAGUAUGCUGACGUGUUUUAAAAAAAUGUCAUGUAAGAGCGAUUGUAUUUCACGCUCAAUUCUGUGACUGAAUGGGGAUGUAAAAGAUACAAAAAAAAAAAAUAAAGUUAAGGGGCAGAUUAGAUCUCCCACAAAGUUUAAAUUGACAAAUGGUUAAAAUGAAAAGGUUGAGAAUGGAAUUUUAUGCCAAUUAUCUUUAGGAUUAAUUUUGACAAAUUUAUUUAAUAGAAAAACUAACGGUUGGACUUUACAGUGUAACAAAAUUAUAAUGUCAAGAAAAUAAUAUGAUUUUAAAAAUUGAGCUCCUUACUAGUGUAUUUGAACAAAACCUAGGGAUUAUAUAGUAAUUACCCUAAAUUCUAUUUAAUAAGAAAAUUAAAUAUUAGUAGUAUAAAAUAUUUUUUUGGGCCUGGAUGGAUUAGGCUCUCAAAGCUUAAGUUAUGAGCCCAGGCCUUGACUUUUAUAGAACUGAAUUUGCCCUGAAAGUCAAGCCCAAGCCUUGAUCAUCUAGCCAUGUCCAUUAUUUCUAACUUCCAUUAAACAAAAAGGAAAUCAUUUGACAUGGAAAUUAAAAAUCAAUCUUAAGCCAAAAAAAAAAAAAAUGCUAAAUCUUAAAACUAUGAUUGGAAUAAAUAAAUUAACGAACUAAUGAAUUUUCAUAUUUGGUAUGCCUUAAUUUAGAAUAAAGAACUCAAUUGAAUUCUGCAAAAUUAUACUUGGAAUAAAUUCUUAAAUGGAAAUUCAAUUGUAUUUAUUUUCUAAAAUAUCUUUGACAUGAUAAUUUAAUAAAGAUAAAUAAUAAACAACAAUUAUAUUUAUUAUACAAUAUAAUAACUUGUUGCUUUUUAUUCAAAUAAAAAUAAUAAAGUUCAUAUAAAUAACUACACUCACAUUCCAUUUCACCCAUUAAUUAAAUUUCCUUCAUAACUAAUGAGUCAAAUUGCAAACCACGGUAUAACUUAGUGGUAAGUGCAUAUGCGACCUGGCAAUAAAUCCAUAUUCAAAUCUCCUUUCUCAAUACUCAAAAAACUAAUGAGUCAGAUUAUAGAGAUGAGAGUAUGUAUGAGCAAAGUCAAAAAUGCUCUAUAGAAAUUAAAAGUUAUAUGUAUAUAACCAUCACGUUAAUAGAGGCUAAAUCAUUAAAAAAAACCCUAAAUUUUGCAAGUAGUUUUAAUUGUACUCUGAAAUUGAAUUUUAAUUACAAUAGUACGCUAAUCUUAAAUUUAGAAUUCAAUCGUGUAUAACCCUAAUUACAUCUAAGACCAGCAUUAACAAAUUCAAGCAUUUAACGGCAAUAAACUUGCAAUUCCCCUAUUAAUGUUUUAAUUUCAUAUACUAAAUUUGCAAGAAUAUUAGAGGCUGCGUCAGAAUUGAUGAACAAAGACGUAUCUGAUCUAUGCACAUAAUGAUUAGCCUCUUCAGGUUCAAAUCCAUGUCCUUAAUUUCUGUAUUUGGCAAAGGAUUUUUGACCAAUUUACGAACUUUUUUAUUGCUACAUAAUUGGGGUUAAUCAACUGAAUUUGAUGCCUGAGAAGAAACAGAUUCGAAUUGUUCCUUUCCUUACAUUAUCAGAUGGGGACUGAUACUGGAUUUCUACCAACCUUUUCGAACUUUUGACCAUAUACAUGUAUUUAGAGGAGGGUUCAUUGUUCACGACAAAUCAUUAAACUAACAACUAAAUCCAGUUAAGCAAUUUGAUUUAAUUUAUUUUGGUUCUUAAAAAAAGUUCGGUUUGUAAUUUUUAUGAAAUAACUGUUUACAGUUUGGUUUCAAUUUUAAUUUCCUUUUAGUUAAUUAAUAUUUUCUAAAAAAAAUGGAUUGUCUAAAUAAAAAAUAACCAAGAUCCUUAAUCAGCAUUUGUGUUAGAAUUCUUAUUCGGUAUUUACAUCUUUUGUUAAAAUAAAAAAUACCGUAUAAAUACAUAUAUCACAUUCCAUUAGAGGCAAUUUCUAAUAUUCUUCCAUCUUUACUUCUAUCACUUCCUAUCUUUUGAAUUUGAGUAGAAAUAAAUAGAAAAUACAUGCAACUUCCAACUUCUACAUGAUACAUUCAAAAUACCAAGGCAAUAUAUUUGGUUUUAUACCAGAAAAAGAAAAGGCUAUGUAUUUGGGUUGACCCUAUGAGGUUGGUCCAUGGGUCCCAUAAUUGUCCAAAUUUCAAUUCCUAACAUUACAAAUAAAGAAGAUCUAUAUAAAAAUUUCUUAUAGUUUAGGACCAUUCAUUUUCAUAAAAGAAACCAUCAUCUACAUUAAUUGUACCCUUGCUUUAUCAUAAUAAUAACAUUUCCUUAAUGACACAAAAAAGUUUGGUUUGAGUCAUUUCCAAUUAGGAGCAAAUAGAAAUAGUGACAUCAUUUUUGAGUUUUUUAGUCCCACUAAUCCAUAAGAUGAAGAGAACGUACAUGGGUAGCUUUCAAAUCUCUACUUAAAAAAUUAAAGUGGCAUACUCUAUAGUUAACCUACAUUUUGAUGACUUAGGUGUGCAUUUUCUCCCCUAGAACCUAGUUUUUUACUGUCAUGUCUUGUACUAACAGGACAUAAACCAACCCUUCAACAGCAAGCUCCUUACAGUUUUGAUAAUUAGGAAUCUGAUGCUUAGUGGUCACAAAUCAUAGUGAUUAUCUCUUCUCUUUUUUUUUUUCAGGGAAAUAUAUAUUAGUAGUUAGUAGUAUUAGUAUUCUGCUGUGGAUAAUAAUCCGGUUCAUGGAUAUUUCUGAUUUAGUAAAUGUUGAUAUUUGUAUAUAGGGAUUGAUUUGUUUAAAUUCAAUCUGUGCAUUCACUUAUGAACUAAACUAAUAAAGAUAAUUUUUUUUAUUGCAAUGAGUAUAUUUUUGACGUUCAUUGAAAAAAAAUAUAAAGUCAUAAAUUAUUUAGAAAAGAUUUUUUAACCAGCGGCAUUUGUUUGAGUGAAAAAAAACUUAAAUUCUUUGAACAAAAUAUCAAGUGUCUAAGAAAAUUUCCACUGAAAGUACUCUCUGCGUAUAGGCGUAACACACGGAGAGCAUGAUUAGACUUUAGCCCACUGAAUUAGGGGCAUUUAUGGUAUUAAAAAAUAUUAUUUCCCAAUGCAUAAAUCGGUACUCACACUGCUAAGUGUCUAUUCGAUAAUUUUAAUUUUUUUUAGUAGUUAGCUGUUUUAAUGUCUGUCAGUUAUUUAUUAGUGGUUAACUAUUUAUAUAACGAUUUAGAAUAAAGUAUUCGAUACAAAUAAAUGUUUGAUUAAUUGUUCAAUAUAAAACGACAAAAAGGGUACGUAAGCAGGAAACAGAAUAAAGACAAGUGAUGGGUAUAAAUGUCAUAAAAAAUUAUAAAACGCUAAACGUUUCCAAAUAUAACGUUGAAAUACUGUUUCAAACUCUAAAUGUUAAAAUAAAUAUUGUAUUACCGAAUGUUAAAAUUAAUUAAGAUAGUAUUUUAACCUAAUCAAAACACUAAAUACUAUUUGAAACACUAUUGCCAAACAUGGUCUAAAUAUAGAAAAAGAUCCUCCUUUAAACCCUUCUCUAUAAAGGCGUGAGUGAUUUACCAUAAUAGGAUGAUAAUUUUUUUUUUUUUUUUUGGAGAAAACAAUGCUUUAACUUGUAUAAGAUUCCACAUUUUUGUGAGGGACACCUUUCAAUUUAGUUUAAUUAUUGAAUUUCAUCACGUAUUAUAUGGAGCAUAUUUAAAUUAUGAUAAUUUUUUUAAGUUUCUGAAACUACCAAAUUAAUAGAAUAAUUAUUGAUGGUGAACUAAAUAAAAAUAUAUUUCUUCAUUAAAUUUUGUUACUUUUGUAGUUUAUUUAAUAUAUUUUAAAAAAAAAAAUUCUGCAAUUACUUAUUCAUUCUAUUCCAAAAUAUAAAAGUAAUAAAUAAUUUUUUUAUUUUACUCUUAUUUAUAUUAGAUAUAAAAUAAUAAUAUUAAAUAGGUGUAAUAUAAAAGAUGAUUUGAUCGAAUUAGCAUUAAUUCUGUUCUAAUUUUAGAAAAUUAAUUAUUUUUUAAAUUUUUGAGAAAAAUUUUAAACACACUUAAUUAGGUAAAAUCGUUAUAAUAAACUUGUUAUAAUAAUAUUUUAUUUCAUGAUAAUUAGGUAAACAACCUCCUAAACAUUAGUAUAGCACAUCCUUCUUUGCUUCUUUUUAACUCAAUAAUAAUUAUUAGAUUCUACAUUUCCUAAUAAGAAGUAGGGAUAAAUCCAAGACAAUACUAUAAAUAUAUAUGAUACGUGUCCGAAUUUCCCCUUUGGUCGUUAGUUAACAAAUGAUGAAUGGUCACCAAGCUUUACACGUCUAGUCUACUCCUCUCCUGCGCGCAUUCCCAUGUGCUAAAUUUUCUAUUACGUCAGUUCCCAUGAAAAAUUGUGUCACACGUGGCACUCUCAGGGCCCACCAGAUUUUUUUUGACCCGUUCCUUAUUAUUAUUUUUUUUUAAUGAAUUACCCUCUCACGUGUUAGUCCACGUGCACUCACACAUCAUCUGUUAGAAAUUCUAGAGACCAGAAAGUGAAUCUUGAUCUUUGGCUGAGACGUAAUCUUUAAUCUCAAGAAAGUAUAACAAAAAGUUUUUUAAUGGUACGUUUUACAUUGUUAAAUUAGUACUGGGAUCUUAAAAAAUUAUUUACAUAAAGAGGGGGUAAUAAAAUUAUUUAUAAAAAUAGAGUAAAAUUGACUUUUUACUUUCACUGUUAUAAUUAUAAUGUAAUAAGGCCAUUAUUACGGUCUGAUUAUAAUAAAAAAUAUCGUAUAUCAAAUAUAAAUAAAUAUUUUUCUAAAUAUAUAUAAAAUUUAGCAAUAGAUUGCAAUUCGAAUUCCUUUCUCAACACUAUAAAGAAAUUUUUAUAGUGGCACAUUCUAGUUUGCCAAAAGCAAAAACGAAGUGGAAUUUUGUAUACAAAAGCAAAGUUGAUAACUUGUUAAAUUGUGCUUGUAAGGAAUGAAAAUAAAGUUCAAGAUAAGGUCAAAAGAAUGUCUUUCAAAAUAAACCUAUACACAAGGAACCUUCCUUCAAUGUAUUGGGACCUCAGACAAUGGGCAGUAUUAUAGACAGAACUUGGCAAUUUUUUAUGGUGCGGGCGGUACCAAAUAACACAAAAUAUCAAAACAAUGGAAACAUGCAACACGUUUUUAUUUUCCAUCACAGCGAUAUACAUUUUCCGGCGUACCAAUAGCUUUGGCACACGUGUUUUCGAACUAAGGAGUCGGCAUGCCAAAGCAUUACAAAUUUUGGCGGAACCGAUGGAUGUAAAUGUGAUUGUAAUGAUCUUUUAAGAAAAUGAGUUUUUACCAUUAAAAAUUUUAAAAAUGUGUUGGAAGCAAAGUAAAUAUGUACAUUAUUCAUAAAUUUUUAUUUAUAACAGGUUGUAACUGCAAUGUCAUUUUUAUAAAUUAAAAUUCGUUUUAAAAUUCGUCUGAAAAUUAAGUUCAUAAUUUCAUUGAUUAGAUACAUAAAUUUAUCUCUAAAAUUUACAAUUUUAAUAUUAUGAUAUGUACUUGAAUUUAAAAAUUUUGAUAAUAUUAUACAUUUUUUAACUGUAAUAUCAAUAAUUUUUAAAAAUUUUUACUUUUAUUUAUGAAAUAUUGACUUGAUAUAUAUUUAAUAUUAACUUUUAGAAUAAUAAUUUUUAUAAAUUUCACUUUUUAAUAAAUGUUUAAUUUAUCUAAUUUUUCAAAUUAAGAUGUUUAAUAAAAUACUUUUGAAAAUUGAAAUAUUAAUAAAUAUAAUUUAUAAAUUAAAAAUAUAUAAUAAAUUAAAAUAAAAAUUAAAAAUAUCACAAGAUUAAAAUAAUAAAAUAUAAAAGGAUAAAUUUAUUUGCUAGGCCCAAUUUCAUCAUCCGAAGAUCAUUGCAAAGUCUUACAAAUAGACUCUUCUAAAAAGAAGAGAAAAAAAGUCUUAUCAAUAUAUGAAUUGAAAUAAAGAAACAUGUCUCUCAAAACAUCCUGUUUUUGGCUUUGUUUUAACAAGUUGGAGAUAUUUUUGAAAUACCAUCUUUGACUCAUCCACCUAAAUUCCACUUCCAAACAUAGAUAAUAACAGAAAAUUCAAGAACCAAAAUAUUUAUUCUCACAUGCAACUCUCUUCAAUCUACAAAUCAAAUGGAGUUGGGUGGGUUUAGGUCUACUCGAUGCCCACAGAUUAAGACACUUUAAACUAUAGCAGCCACAAAGCACAGGUUAUAAAUGUAAAAACACUAAUUUAAGAUUAGCUUAAUCCUAAAAGAUAAUCAUCAAAGAGGUUAAUAUGAUAAAAUAAAAAAUUAAAUUAAGAAGCAUAGAGCAGACAGCUCUGUCUGGUUUCUAACAUCACUUGUUCAAAAUUAAAAAAAACAAAACAAAAAAAAAAAAAAGAAAAAAAAAGAGAAUUUAACAUCAAAUCUUUAAGAAGGGAAGAACAAUUUACCUAUAAAAUUCCAAAAUGUUCUGUUCUUUGUUCUGAAGAUUUAUACCAUUUAUGAUCUGCCUCUGUUCCUUCUCUCUUUAUAUAACAAAAGUAUUUUUUUUUUUUUAAAAAAAGCAACAAUAAAAAUAAAAUAACCAAAUGAUACAUGCAAAUACAGAGUGGAAAAAUUAUAAAAAUAAGAAAAAAAUAUACUGAAUUUUUAAAAAAUAAAAAAAAAACAAAAUAUUAUUUUAAAAAAAUUGUGUAAUCAAUUAGUUUUAACUGGAAGAGGAAGGGUAGUGGCUAGAAUCUGACCACGGCGGCACCGGAAUAUCAGAACCGGUAGGCUGAUUCUGAUUCUGUGGUGACCGGAAAUAACCCAAUUGCUGACCAGGCAAAAGCGGAGGAAAUGAAGCAGAGGAAGAUGUAGAAGACGAUCCAGAGGAAGAUGCUGCUGCUAAAAAUGGAGGAGCUGAUGUAGAUGACAAUUGAGAAAAAGAAAAAUUCUGCUGUAAAGAAGCCAAUUGUUGAUUAUAAAACAUCUGCUCUAACAAACUCGAAGGUUGAACAUGAAAAUCACCGGUACUCUGUAAAAGCUGUGAAUAUUCCCAGUAAUCUCUUAUAUUAUCGCCUUGAAAGUGAAAAUAUGGCGGCGCUGGAGCCGGCGCCGUUUGCUGCGGCGGAGUUGGUUGUGGCUGAUGUGAAUAGGGAACGGCAACGGUUUGUAUUGGAGGUGGUGGUAACACUCUAACAUGUUCAGGGAAGUUCAAUUUUGCUCUGUUUCCUCUAAAUUUUAAAGCGGCUUCAUCGUAAGCUCUCGCCGCAGCCUCCGCGGUGUCGAAUGUGCCAAGCCAAACUCUUGCCGCCUUAUGAGGAUCGCGAAUUUCCGCUGCCCAUUUUCCCCAUGGUCUUUGCCUAACUCCUCUGUAUCUUCUUCUUCUCUCGCCGGUUUCUUCGUAAGAAACUGUUUCAGUUGAUGAUGUUGGUGGUGCGGUCCCGGUUGUGGUGGCGGUGGCGGUUCCGGUGGGUGGGGUCGGGAUUAUUACUGAAGCGGCUGCCUCUUCCGUAACUGUAAAUGGUAAAAAUUAAUUAAAAAUAAAAAUUACAUUAAUCUGCUUUAAAGCGGUGAUUUAAAAUUUAAAAACUGUUGCAUUGCUCAUUUCGAGAUGACUGCAAAUAUUUUGAUGCCUUCGUAAAGCUGACAAUUUCAGGCCUUUGAUUCUUAAUGAAAAGAUAAUAUUGCAAUACAUGCAAUAUUAGACAACAUAUAAAUUACUAUAAAAACAAAAUAAUAAAAUAAAAUUACUAUAUAUUACAAAAUUAAUUAUUAAUUAAUAAUCCUAGAGUUUAUCUAACGAACUAAAAUGGGAUGUCAUAGAGGAUUGAUAAUCCAUGUAUAGUUUUUUUUUUUUUUUGUUUUUGAGAGGAUAAUCCACAGUUUAUGAUAAAGAAAAUAAAUUGAGUUAAAUGGAAAAUUAGCUAAAAUGAAAUUACUAACCAGGAGUUGCACUAGAAGAAGAUGAAUCUCCUUGAGAAAUUCUAAAAUCACCAAACCCUCUAUAAACCCUUGGAACAGACUCAAUUAAUUGAGUUGCACUUCCUUCUUCUUCUUCGCGGCUCCUCUUUUGUCCAAUCCAGAAACCCGAACUACCAGAACCAGACGAAUAAGUUGACAAAGAAGAAGACGUUGAACUAUAAUCAGUAGUAGAAGUAUAACCUGGAGUAAUUGCACUUCCAAAACUACCAACUCCAUAUGAUGAUCCCAAAUCACCGCGGCCGCUGCCACCAGCAGCAGCAGCACCACCACCAUCACCACCGCCGCCAACUCUUUGUCCCGAUACAACAUGAGUUAGGGCAGAAACCAUUGCAGAUAUCUCCCUUGGACUUCCAUAACCUGCAGCUGGCAACAUAGUAGUUGACGUUGUUGGUAACGAUUGUGUAAUCACCCCUUCCCUUAUUAUUGGUUGAUUACUCAAUAAUAAUGAUUGUGAAGGCAAAACAAUUCGUGGGUGGCUUUCUUCUUCUUGAUUAUCAUCUCUGCCGCCGCCAUCAACACCACCUCUAGGGUAUCUUAUUGUGUACUCACCUGAGCCUUUCUGGUUCGCCACCUUUAAAUUCAACAAGCACAUGUAAUAACAAAGUUGUUUUCUUUCUUCUUUCCUUUUCUUUUUUCUUGUAUUAUUUUUUUUUUUGUCGGAUGCAAAAUUAGAGUACCCUUUGAAAGAUAUGUGAAGGAAUAUUAGGGUUUAUAUAUGGUGAUAGAGAAUUCAAGCUUUAUCAGCCGCCAUUAAAACAGUAGACUCUCUCUCUCUCUCUCUCUCUCUCUCUCUUUCCUUCUUGCUUUGUUUUUUAUAUCACUUGUUGCCGCACCGAGUACUGCACCUACAUGAUAAAUAUGAUCUUCUCUUUUUUUUUUUUUUUUAAUUUUUUAUUAAUGGGUUGGAGAAGGUUGAUAAGCAAAAAGGAGGGUUUUGUUUUAAAUUUUGGGUUUUUUUUUUUAAAUUUUUUAUUAAAGGUGUGACAAUACGUUCACACCAGAAAAUUUGACUGACAUUAAGAUGGUAUGGAACUUAUGUCGGUGAUUUUCAAGAGUUUCUGUUGAAAUUGAGUUUGUGCGACUCAUUAAGGUUGCUUUGUAACCUUUUGGGCUUCAGAUAAAAUAAAAGUAUAUCCUAUUAGCCCAUUAUUAGUAAAUGGGCUAUUAGAUAAUUGAACAGUAACUUGGGCUCUCAGACGGUAAUUCUUUUUUUUUCCGUAAAUUAAACUCCUUAAUCGUACGGUCGAAUAUAUUUUUACCACUCGAACCACUUUUUAUGGAUGGAGAUACUUGAAGAAUAAGUUAGAUUAAUGACAACUUGAUUUAUAUUAAUGUCAUGGUGUUGUAUUUUGACUUUUCUUUUCUAUUUUUUCCUACCUUUGAACACUAUUAAUCGAAUAAAAUAAUGUCUACUGAAUUGUGGAGAAUUUUUUAAUUGAUUCGAAUUUCGUAGAGUGCAUCGAAAAAUCUUCUUAGGAGUUUCAGAAAAAUAUUAAGGUUAUAUUUGAUAAGCAGUAAUAAUAUAUAACCAAGUCAUUAUAUUACAUUACAGCUUAAUGUCGUUGUAUUACAUUAUAUUAUAUAAUAUUAAUUUUAAUUAUAUUACGUUGAAAGUCCAUUAUGGUUCACUAAUUAUAAUUAUUUUAGAAAUCUUGAGUUAUUAGUCUAAAAGGUGUUUUUGAUAUUAUAAAACAUCAAAAAGGUGUUUUAUACCUUUCUCAUGCUUGACUGUUUGAUUCAAAUUUUUUAUAUUAAAAAUCUAUUAAUAUCGUGCAAAAAUCAACCUAUAUAUUAUUAUUAUUAUUAUUAUUAUUAUUUAUUUGGUCCUGCAAUGAAAUUGAAAGUCAUUGCAUUGCCAUUAAUUGAAAUUGUAGGUUUACAUAUACACAUUAUUUAUCCAUUAAAAUAUUGUUUGGUAUACCAUCUGUACGGUCAAAGCACGUCUCUGAUCUGACGUGGACCAUUUGGUGGGGAACCCAAUAGUAUUAAACUAUAACAAAAUUAAAAUAAUAAUAAUAAUAAUAAUAAAAAAGAAAUGGAAUCGUGCAAUUUGAGGCAGACAGUAUACAUUUCGUUGCAAUUUGGUUCAAAAGCAUUCUAGGUUUAGGGCCCUGUAAUUCUUCGUAUUAAGUAAAGAAUUUUAAUGUUUAGGAGCGACAAUUGCAUAGCAUCUAGUAUUAUUUUUUACAUAAAUAUACAAAUCUUAAUCUAAUUACUCCACAAUUAAAUUAUUAAUCAAAUCAUUUUCUGUUAAUUUGAUUGACUAGGACUUUAGUCAAAUUUUUAAAGAGGUCUUAUUUGUUCGAAUCUAUUUUUUAUAAUAUUCAUAAGAUGAGAAAAAUAAUUACAACAAUCAAUUAAAACGUUGAAUUGUUGGUGACACUUUCCAUAUUGAUCUGUUGAGCUAAGUUAAUUAUUUUAAUAGUUAUUAGAUGUUAGAUGUUUAAUUAACAUUUCAUAUACAUUAAAAGAUAUAAAUCAUAAUUUAUUCUCUCAAAUUCAAAAUAUUAGUAUAAAUAUUAUGUUAUCAAAUACUAUAAAUAAUAAUAUAAACGUUAUUUAUAAACAUUAUGAAACUUUCAUUCAGUCAAUAAUUAUUUGAAUUAGAGACAAUAAUUAUACAGCUAAAAGCCUGUAACCCUCAAAUCAAAAUUUUUUUAUAGGCUCUAUUUGUUUUCAGAAAAUAAGGAAAAAAAUUUUUUUAAAAAAUAUUUUUUAAAUGACUUAUUUUCUAUUAUUUAUAUGCAAUAUUGAAAUAUUAAUUAAAAAUAUUAAAAAUUUUAAAAUAUAAGACCAUAAAAAUGUAUAUAAUAAUAGAAAUUUUGUAAUUAAAAAGUUUUAUUAUUAAAUAUGAGAAAAAAUAAAAAAAAUAUGAAAAUUGCUGGUGAUUGAUGGUAGCUGACGAUAGCUGCUGAUAGCCAAUGGUGGUGGUUGGUGACGAAAGGUGAUUAGUGGUAGUGACUAUUUGUGAUUAAUACUUAAUAUUUUAUAAAAAGUUUAUUAAUUUCAAAAAAAUGUUCUCCUCUCUUAAAAAUAAUAAGUCAUUUUCUUUAAAAAUUACUUGAUUUUUCUUUAAUCAGAAAAUAUUUGCUUUAACUUAUUUUCUUAAAUGUCCCAAGUGAUAAAAUUUAUAGAAAAUAUUUUUUUAUAAAUUAUUUCACCGAAAUAUACGACCUCAAUGUAAAGAAAUUUUGAAUAAAAUAUAUUUUAGUUUAGCUUCCACAUAAAAAAAAUAUAUAUAUAUAUUAUAUAUAUAUUUUUGGCUCCUAAAUUUUUUAGUUGAGUCUAGCCUGAUCCGAAUGUAGUGGGUUGACUGGAUCCAUUUUAUCUCUAUCUUCAUUAAGUAUCAAUUGCCUUCGGUUAAGGCUGGUCCAAUGACUCAUUGUUACCAGUUUACGAUUAACCAAAAUGUCUAAAUCAGUUCAAUUACUUGAACCAAAUGAUACGGUUUGGUUGAUCUAACAAAUUGCUUCAACUUUAACAGAACCCAUUUGGCAAUUUGGGUAAUAAGUUUGGUUCAACUUUUUAACAAGUGGUUUGUUAGCUCAAUCCCCUUUAUUUAUAAUUCGGUGGAGAUUGUCUUUUUAUUAUUGUGAGUUUGAUGUUGCCUCGUUAGAUUUAUAUGGGACCCACUGAAUUAUUAUAUGAUAUACAUGGGUGAAUUUAUUAAAAAAGAAAAAAAAAAAACUCAAGGAAUUUAAUGUCAACUUGGUCUAUUGUUCAACUCGUAAAUAAACACGUGGACUUCAGUAGGUGCAGCUCUGUAGGAUUGUGAUGUGUGGUGUUUUGUAAUUUGUAGGGUGGGCCCUUAUUAGUGACCUACAAAUAGACCCCUAUUAUGCCUCAAAACGUCUACAUUGCUUAGGAUGAAUGAUACUAUUUUGUUUUUAUUUAUUUAUUUUUUGAAAUUAACUUGGUCUUAAAUUGUGAUUUGCUUUGAUAGUGACUUGUAUUUCCAUGUCCCUAGUAUUAGGGUACUACUUUUCCUUUCAUUUUUUUUGGAAAAAGAAUAAAUUGUCGUGUUAAUUACAGUGAAGAUUUUUAUUUUUAAGAAUUAAAUAUAAAAUUUUUGUCGAUUAAAUGUAGUCUAAUUGAAUUUUCUAUCUUUUAUAAAAGAUAUAGAAAAUGAGAAAUUUCGAAUUCGAGUACUCUCUAUUAUAAAGUUUAUCACCAAUUUAAUGAAUAUUAUUUAAAAAUGAGGCUUUUCUUUCUGUGCAACUCACAAUAUUAUUCUAGUCUAUUGCGUUUUUAUAUAUAAAAAAAAACUAUAAAGCUUAUAAUUUAAGAUUUGUUUGCCAUGUUGGUCCCUAAAUUAUAGUUAAAUAAACUAUAAUAUUCUGUAUUUAUUAUUUCCAUUAUCAAUUUAAUUCAUUUAUGAUUUUCGUUAAAACUUUGAUUUUUUUAUUUAAAAAAAAUGACCAAAAUGUUAAUAAUGUCAUAAUUUAAAGACCUUACAGAUAGUUUUUAAAAUAAAUGGCAUUAUAUUAAUUUAACUAUAACUAAAGAACCUAUUUAUAUUUUUUUCUUGCUUUCUUAAUAAAUUAGUUAGUCUAGAGUAAAUAAUUUAUUUUUAGUUAAAUUAAAGGUAUAAGUUUAUAUAUAAAUUUAUUAUUAAUAUUAAUGUGAUAUUAAAAAAAAAAUUUACAAAUCAAAUGAGUCUGAAUUAGGGAUAUUCCACUGUUGUAGUUUAAACUGAAUAGAGCUAGUGGAAAUCAAAAUAAUGAAAAUUUAAGAUGAGAAUAUAAUCUAUUAGUGUAGAGAACAAAACUGAACUCGAUUUUUAACUAUACUUUGAGCGGAUUUACGCAAAUUUAGACUUAAAAAGAAAAAUCAAACUAAAUAGUAAAAUUGGAUAUUUCUUUUUUUUUUUUUAUCUAAAUUACCGGUAUCAAACCCUAUUAUCAGGGACCACCUAAUUUUACUCGGGACUUAAUCAUAAGUAAGGCUUCUCUCUCCUUCCUGAAAUGCGUUUAGCGAGGAUCGAACUAAAAAACUCUUUCCACAUGUUCAGCUUCUAUUGCCAACUGAACUCCAAACUGUAAGUUGAAAUUUGAUAUUUCUAUUAAAACUGAAAUCAAAUUAAUAUAUUAUAAACUGAAUCGAAUCAAAUUGAUUUGAUUUGAUUUGAUUUGCUUUGCUUUGGUUAUUUCUAUCAAUUUUAAGUUUAAUUUGUAUCCUUGAUUAAAAAAUAAUUGUAAAAAUCUCAUACAUAGUUCCUUUAGAAUGUGAAACUAAAAGUAACUUGUUACCUAACAAGAUACUUAGUUAAUACCUCAGAGUUUAUUUAUGAAAAGCGAACUAGUGAAAAAUUAAGGUGAGAGAGAGGAUCAUCCUGCCUUAAUCUUCUAUUGGAGAAGGUCAAUCCAAAUGGUUAGAGCCACAAAGUAUUUGAGGAUGAUACAUAUAACAUAAUAAGAUCAAUCCAAGUGUCUAAAAAAUCCAAUUUCAAUAUUAACUUACGUAAAAAGACCAAUUUCAAUUUCUAUAUAUAUAGGAUUACAAUUCUUUCUUUAUGGUAUUCUUUCUUGAUUACAACAAGGUUUAUAGGAUUUGCGUACCCUACUUGGUGAAGAAAAUAGUACUGUGCUAUUUGCUUCUUCUCUCCUUUUUUUUUUUUUUUUUUUUGUUAAAAGAAAUAAUUUUGCAAAAUUAAUGAAAUCUUCAUUUUCUAAUUAUUAAUAAUUAAUCAAAUACAUAAUAAUAAAAAAAUAGAAAGAAAAGGAAAAGUUAGCUCCUAUCUAUCUUCCAAACCAAACAAAAUGACAAUGGCUUUUGAUUAAGUUGAUUUGGAUAAUAUUGCCGCGUGUUCAAAAGGAUGGAUUUGAGAUUUGAUAAAGACCAAAAUUGUUAAUUUGACAAAACCAAAGGUCAACACCAGGACCACUUGUUAAUAUAUAAUAUAAUAUAAUAUGUAUGUUAUCUACCUAACUAUAUUAUUUAUUUAAUUCAUACUUACCAAUAUAAGUAAAAUAGAUUCUCCUUAUCCACAUUAAAAUGUGUUACAACUUCUAAAUUUCUAUAUUUCACUCGUCACUUACAUUUAAUAAAACAAAACCCAUUUUGUUGGAUUGGAUAAAAAAUCGUUUUUGGAAGCAUCUUUCAAGUUUCUUAAUUCUUCUUCUUAGCUAAACUACUAAAUAUUAUAUAAAAUAAAAUAAAAACUCUCUUUAAUGUUAUUGUUAUAUAUAUAUCACAUCAUGGUUUUUUUAUAUUAAUCAUGAAAUUUAAGUUAUUUAAUUUUGUUCUUCUAAAAAAAAGUUAUUUAAUUUUAAUUAAAAAGACUUAAAUUUCAUAAAUUCCUUGCAAUAGAAAGGACUUUAAUUUGAUCAAACUCUUAUUUUUCAUAUUUUUAUAGAAAAUGAAGAGAUCAAUUUGCCGACCACAUUUGAUUUUUGUCCUUUAGUCUAACUGACAUGAGUUGAUUCAAGGGACAAAAAUGUGUAUCCACAUAUUUUGAGCUACUUGUAUUUAUAUUCGUAUAAAAUUUUAUUAUCUAUGUCCAUCUUAAACUCGUUUAAAUAGCCGUUUAAGUAUCACGUCUGAAUCGUUUAAAAUUUUACUACUCGUACUUAUUUUAAAUUUAUUUAAAGUAGUUCUUAAAUGGAUAAUGUAUCCAUAAGUAUUAAAUUAUCCAAAUAUGAACUUAUUUAAAAUACAUCUUUUACCUAAUAAUGAGUGGGGGCACCCGCGUGUACCUAUGACUAAAUCCAUUUAAUAUAGUGAGUAACGAGUAAAUAGAGACCUAUACUCUACUAAUAUCCGUUAUAGAUAGUAAUUUCAUUAUUCGACCUGUCACAAAUCUAUUUAUAACUAUCAAUAUUCUCAUUAAAUAUAUCAGAGUGAGGGUUAAUAUCCUAAAAUAACUGUCUUGCUAACAACAUAAUGAAGGCAGUCAAUCAGUAUGGAUAGAUCCUAAAUCAUGUAUACAUGAUUCUUUUCAACUUAAAAUUAAAAAAAAAAACUAUAUUUGUAACUAUUCCCUUGAGAAUUAAUUUAUAUUUUUUUCAUUUAAAAUUAAAUCAUGUAUAUCAAUUAGUAGAGAAUUUUUUUUUUAAAUUUUGAUCUCAAAAAUGAAUCAUAAUCAAUAAUACAAUAAGUAAACAAUAUUUAUAAAUAUAAAAAUUUAAUUAUCUUAAAAUUUGAUGUUAAUGAGAAUUAUUUAACUUUAAGAUAAUAAAAAAUAAUUAGAGGGUACCAUAUGAUGAAGAAGUACUUUGUUGACAGACAUCUUGUGCUAUAAAAUUAGAAAUUACAGUACUUUUUUGACCGACUGAGUUCCAUUAUUUCCUUCUUUAAAAUACAAAGUUAUCAUAAUUUGAACAUGUCAUGUUUCUUUUAGGCAUUUUUAUUACAUAUUUUGUUAUUUUUCAUGUCGGCUGAAUUUUUUAAUAUAUAAAUAACAUUUCGGACAGAAGGUUCUGUUGCUUGCAUACGUGGAAGAUUCUUCUUUGUUGGAAUGUACACGUGGGACCUCGUUUGGAUUUCCCACAUGAUUUUAAAUCUUUAAUUACUUAAAUGCGGCGAGAUCACACUUUUCUUUUUCUUUUUCCUUUUCUUUUUUUCUUUUGGGCUUUUGAUGACAAUCGAUGGUGAUCCAUCUUUCGCUUUAAGCUGUAUUUAAUUUGAGAUAUGUAAGUGAAAUAUUUCGAGGAAUUAAUUUAUAAAUUAAAAUUUCAAAAGUAAGAUAAAUGUUUAUGCAUUUUCCAAAUUUUUUUUAAGGUUCAAACUUUUUUUUUGGCACUAAGGUUUUUAAGACCUAUUCCGCGGUCGACCCAUUGAGCGCUGAGAUUUAAAAGUUAGAGAAUUGAAAUUAAAUAGGAGUUUAUCCGGUAUUUAAUUAAAUAUAUAUUGAAUAUUAAUAUAAAAUAAUUUAGAAAUUAAUAAUUUUAAUUAAAAAUCAUAUUUGUGAAUUAUAAAUUCAUUGAAAUAAAAAUAUUACAAAUAAUUAAAUUAUAAUAUUAGUCAACAAUUGUAAACAAAUGUUUGUCAUAAUAAUUAAAAUAAAAAAGUUAAAGUUUUUGAAUAGUAAUAAUCAUUUCGAUACUAAUAAUAUUGAUGUGAUUUUCGAUAAAUAUCAUACAAGAUAAAUUUAAUAAAUAUUUAUUUGUCGAAAGUAAUAUUGAAUCAAUAUUCAAUAUAUUUUUGUAAGAGAAGAGUAUUUAGGGGUGUAUAUUAUAUUAGAUUUUAAAAGAAUUGUUGAAUUUGAUAAAAUCGAAGGAUUUUUUAAGAUUUCCAUAGAUUUCAUUAGAACUCUACGUAGAAUUUUAUAGAAUUGGUGGGACUUUUAUUUAAAAAUUUUGAUUGACUUUGAAGGAAUUAUAGUGAUUUUUAUAUAUCCAAAAUUAAUUUUAAGAUAUAAUUGAAUAAAUUAAAAGGUUUUUAAGCCCAAUUGAAAAAUUGAAAAACAAUGAGGACCAAAAACCGCGUCAUGUUUUCUAAAAUCAAUUUUUUCUUCUUAAAACCUUAACCUUGUGGACAAUAAAAAGUCUGCAAUGGCUAGCUACGCCGAGCCCUCCCCCCCCCUCGAGAAUAGUCAUGGGUGAGCAAACGGUUUGUUCAGUUCAUAUUGAACCGAAUCGAAAUCAAAAAAUACAAUCCAAGUUUUUUUUUUGUUUUAUCAACAAACCUUACUGAACCGAAUUUGCCUUCUGAAUUGAAUUAAACCAAAUUGAAUUAUUCAAUUCGGUCAAUUUUGAUCGAUUUUUUCAUUUGAUUCAGUUUUAAGCCCACCGAUGGAUAUAUAUGAACUGAUUUUUUUGAAUAAUAAAUUUAGUUCAAACUGAAUAAACCAACAACUAAACCUUCCUUGAUUUAGCUUACCAAAUCCAAUUGAAAUGAGUCGGUUCAAUUUUUGGUUCAAUUCGGUGGGUAAGUUUGUACACCCUUAGCGAUUGUCUCGCCAGAAAAUUUCAGGUUUAAAUAUACGUUUUUUUAAUUUAAAGCAAAAAUUAAAAAAAAGUUGAAAAUUUUAAAAAGACAUACCUAGCAAUCUAAAAUCUAAUGAAAUCUUUGGGUUAAAUGAUAGAUUUGCGAAUGACUCUUUUAUUUAUACCUAGCACUCUAAAAUCCAACGAAAUCUAUAAUUUUAUAAAAUCCAUCUAAAUCAGCAAUUUUUUGAAUAUUAUCAAAUUUGUAUAGACUUUUAAAAUGUCCCAAUUGAAUACUAUUAGAUUUUUAUGAAUUUUAUAAGAGUUUGAAUUGAAUACCCUUCUUAAUUUGAGAAAAAUAACACUGUAAUAAAAAAGAAAUUUGUUAAAUGGAUAAUAAUAAUAAUAAUAAUUUUUAUUAAAAAAUGUAAGAACAAUAAUAACGAUAAGAACUACCAAGCCUUUGUUUGAAACUAGCUUGGAUCAGCUGUAUAAAUCUUAAAAAACCUUAAAUUUUAAGGGCUGUUUCUAUUAUAUCUUAAAAUGAACUUUAUUUAUUAGGUACUCAUCUUCAAUUUUUGUUAAAAUAGCACUCCGAAUCCAAUACUCUUUCACAAGAAAUGAGUUAGACUAUACAUUGCAUUUUAUUAUCGAAAUUCCAUUCCUUCAUCAUCCUCGAUGUCUUAUACCUAUCACAUUUAGCACAAUUUUUUUCUCUCUCCAUAUCUUUGUCAUCAUUCAACUCCAAUUUCAACACUGUUUUUUUUUUUUUUUUUUAAAGUUCCAAGAUCAUAUACACGAUUUAAUUAAUAGAUCCAUAUGAAAAUAAUCAAAACAAAGCCUUUGAAUAUUAAAAAAAAUAAAUAAAUAGUCUUUCAAAAAUUUAUCUAGAUGAAGCAACAAACUUGCAGAAAAAAAAAUAAAAAAGGUUCUACUAUCACCAAUACCUCAUCAAUGUGGAAAAUCAAAGUGCAACAAAAUCAAUUAUACCAAAGAACCAUUUUCAAGCGAUGAUGCACUAAGAGGCAAGUCGAUUGGACAUACUGUAAUUUUUUGUAUUAUCUAGUGCAUGGGUUCUUAAUACAAAGACUAAGAGAAUUGUACCGUUACAUGAACCAAAAAUUUCGAAUAAUCUAACGCUUGAAGUGGGUUAUUGAGUAGAACCACGUUAUCGUGUCUGUCAUUAAAAUUGAUAGAGUAAAAGUUAGUGAGAAAUGUGUCAUCCAUAUCCGAGAUUAUUGGUUAAGAAUUGCCACCAAGAAAAUCCAUGUAAAAUUGAAAAAUUAAAAGUUCAAAAUUGUUAAUAGAACAAGUUAAUUUUUUAGGAUUUGUUAUUUUUGCUAGCUAAGAUAGUUACAGAUUCUUUACCUUUUGUAUAUAACUUGAUGUAAAAGCUACGGAUCGGACAAUUAAGAAUUUCUUCAUUUCAUUCUCAUAUUCUCUCUUUUGAUAUAGUAUGAUUGCAAUGUGCUCUUAUCGAGUUUUCUUAGUAUCUAAACAUAUAUAUUUUUUUCGUUUCUUGAUCUUUUUUCCUUAUUCAAUGUCUUCUCUUCAUCAAUGGCAACUCUGCACAAACCUAAAGAACUUCCUUUAAGUCCGUUUUAUCUCUAAUAAAAAUGAGAAUUCAAUUCAAGUUUGAUUCUUAUUUCUCCUCCAUUAUCUUGUUCUAAUUUUCGCUCUUAGUUUCAUGCUAUGAAAAUGGCGUUAUUGUCAGAGAAUAAAUUGAAGUUUGUGGAUGGUAGUAUUCUGAUUCCAAAUAAGAUUGAUCCUCUUUAUCCAGCUUGGGAACGUUGUAAUACGAUGCUUCUCUCCUGGUAAAUUCAUUCUCUUUCUCCCUCAAUUGCGUAGAGUAUCAUAUGGAUGGAUAAUGCAAUUGAUGUUUGGAAUGAUCUUAAUGAUCGAUUUUCUCAAGGAGACUAAUUUCGUCUCUCAGACUUGUAAGAAGAACUAUACAAUUUCAAGCAAGGUACUCUCUCUGUAACAAAUUAUUUUACUUCUUUAAAGAUAAUUUGGGAUGAACUAGUAAAUUUAAAGCCUAUUUCUUCUCGCACUUAUAAUCGUCCAUGUUAUUUUGAAGCCGUGGAGGUUGUAAGGGAUUAUCAACAAAAUGAUUAUUCAAAAGGAAUCAAUGAUAAUUUUGCAACAGUUAAAUCUCAGAUAAUGCUCAUGGAGAAUCUAGCUUCCACUAGUAAAGCUUUUGCUCUUGUUUUAUAACAAGAAAGGCAAUUGAAUUCUGGUUUACAAGCUUUUUCUUUGGACGUUAACGAUAAUGCAAUGCUUGCAUCUAAAGCCAAUCAUGAUUAGAAUUAUAUAAGUUUUAUUUUUAUAGUAUUUUUAAUAUAAUUUCUAUUAGGAUUUUUAGUCGUUUUUAUUACUUUAGUCAGCUUUUUAUUCAGUUUUAUUUAUAUUUUUCAUCAAAGCUUUCUUGAAACAUAAUUUGCUUGAUCUAGGAUUUUGGCACAGAAAAGAGCAAAAUAAAGUAGAACACUCAGGUUCUAGCAUGCCCAAGCAGUGCAAUUCAGCACGCUCGUGCUGGAAUCAAGGAAAAUCAAUGUGGAGACUUAGAGCCUAGUAUGACCUAGCCGUGCUAUAUGGCACGCCCGUGCCGCAAGAAGACAUCAAUCCAAAGGCGUGCCUACCUGAGCACGGUCCGUGCUGCAUUCCAUCAUGAAGACUUAGAGCCUAGCACACCCUAGCCGUGCUAUGUGGCACGCUCGUGCCACAAAUUCUUCUCUAGACGUGUCCAUGAGCGCGGCCCAUGCUGAACCAUCCUUAGAACUCAGGUUCCAGCACGCCCUGACCGUGCCGCACAGCACGCCCGUGCUGCAAAUCAAGUUUUAUUUUGGGUUGUGAAUGCUAGCCAGUCUCUACUACAUACAUGGGCCCACACAAGAUGAUUUCAUAACGUGCAGAUCAACUUCUAAUCCUAUUUAGGCGCAUGGGGGAGUCCUAAUUGAGAAGAAAUUCCAAUUUCCUAUUUUCAAAAGGUUUCUUACUUAAUGAAGACUAUAUAUCCUAAACAAAGUCGGAUUUUCUCCCAGGAAGUCUAUAUAAAGAGAGAACCAAUUCAUUGUAGGGAUAUAUCUAGUUUUAAUAUCUUUUGUUUUAUUAUUUUUCUCUCUUUAAGACUUCAAGUGAUCAAACAUUGUGUCAAGAUUCAAGGAAGCCGUCCACAUUAUUUGGCUAGUUUUUAUCUCUAAACUCUUAAUCUUGUUUUUACUUUUCAUUAUUCACAUUGAUCAUGGAAUUAUUAUCAACUUUAAUUGAGUUUUAUUUAAUUACUAUGUCGAACUAAACUCUCAUACUAGGGAUUUGAUGUAGCUUAAUUUCUUUUCAAUUUAUAACAUUAGAUUUGCUUUUCUUUGUUCAAAGUAUAGUUUAUUAUUGAGCUUAAUGCUUUUAGGCAGAGUUUUUCACCUAGAUUGAUUUAUUUCAUUAAUCACUAUCAAGAGAAGGGUUUUUGAUAUGAAAAAGUUAAUAAAUUCCAUGAAAAUAAUAACUUGAUGCAGAAGCUAUAUACUUUGACUCAUGGGGGGUUUUCAUAAGUUAACAAUAUUAGAUUAUGAAUUCAUAAACAAACCAUAAAACUUAAUGAUUUCAUUUAUGUUUGAUUGCACUAUUGAAAGAUAGACUAGACCCGGUUAAAAUAGCUAACAAUACAUCGGGAGAACUUGUUAGUGAUUUUAGGGUUGUUUCCCUUACUUGAACAAUUAAAAUUGAUUAACGAACUAAUAAGAUAAAUUAGAUAGAAUUAAAUGAAAUCAAAAUCCCUAGUAGUUUUUAAUCCCUGAUUUCUUUUAAUAAAAAAUUGCUUGCUUGAUUUCUUUUUAUUAUCUUUAUCGAAUUUAGUUUCUUAAAAUAAUUUCCCUAAAUCGCUGUUUAAAUAAUAGUAGGUUGACAUAAUUUUGGUACUUGGUAUACAAUCCUCAAGGGAACGAUACUUUGCUCAUUAUAUAUUACUUGUUGCGAUUUCGUACACUUGCGAAAAUCUCUGUCAAGUUUUUGGCGCCAUUGCUGGGGAUUAGCGUUACUAAUAUCAAUCUAAUUACCCUAUUAUUAAUUUAGACAUUUAUUUUUUUUUACUUGUUUAAUUUAAUUUUUCUGGAAGAUUAUUCAGGUUUUUAUGCAAAGAAGAUCAGGUAGAACUGAGCCCUUGAUCUUUGAUCCAAAAAUCGAAAAGACUUGUCGUAGGAAUAACACUGCUAGAAGAGCACGUGAGAACAAACCAGAACAACAAGCAAAUAUGGCUGAUGAAGUUAACCCUCAAGACGAACCUCAACCUCAUGUCCGCACCUUGCGAGAUUACACAAAUCCUUCUCUCAAUGGAACAACCUCGAGUAUCACUAGACCUACGGUGGAAGCUAACAAUUUGGAAAUGAAACCUGCAAUUAUCCAAAUGCUUUCCACCUCAAUUCAAUAUGGAGGUUUACCUAGUGAAGAUCCUAAUGGCCAUAUCACAAAUUUCUUAGAAAUUUGCGACACUUUCAAACAAAAUGGAGUUUCUGAGGAUGCCAUAAAAUUAAGACUCUUUCCUUUCACUCUUAGGACAAAGCACGAUCCUGGUUACAAUCAUGCCCUGCUGAAAGUUUUACAACAGAGGAGGAAUUAACCCAAAAAUUUUAGCAAAAUUCUUUCCAUCUUCAAAGACUACAAAACUGCGCAAUGAGAUAAUGACCUUUGUCCACCAUGAUCAAGAGAGUUUAUACGAAGAUUGGGAGAGAUUCAAGGACUUAUUGAGAAAGUGCCCACAUCACAGCUUGUCCAAAUGGUUACAGGUACAAACUUUUUAUAAUGCCUUAUCUCCUAAUAUUAAGAUUACUCUAGAUGCAGCUGCAAGUGAAUCUUUCGAAAGAAAAGAAAUUGAUGAGGCAUAUGACUUGAUAGAAGAGAUGGCAAGCAAUAGCCAUUAUCAAAGCAACUCCGAAAGGAAGAAGACUCCAGGAGUUUAUGAGAUUGAUGCCAUCACCGCACUCAAUACCAAGGUAGACAAUAUGGUAAGGAAGUUGGACUUAUUGACUACUAACUCGGUAAAUUCUAUUAUGCAAGCUUGUGACAGGUGUAAUGGGUAACAUGUGAUUGGAGAAUGCAUGUUAGAUUCUGUAAAUGCGCAAACUUUGUAGCAAGUAAACUAUGUGAUGAAUCAAGGAAGGAAGAAUUACCCAUACUCUAACUCUUAUGAUAACAGGUUGAGGAAUCACCCUAAUCUUUCGUAUGGGAACCCAAACAACAUCUUGAACGCACAACCAUGUUUCCUACCUCAAGAGAAAAAGUCUCAUGAUGAUCUCCUUACUGCCCUCUCUAAAUCUCACAUGGACUCCAUGAACGAAACUUGAGAACAACAAAAUCCAACAAGCCGCGAUAAGGAACUUGGAGAUUCAACUAGGAAGUUUACAAACAUGAUGGCCUUUCGACUCCAAGGUACGUUACCUAGUAAUACUGAAGAAAAAUCCUAAAGAACAGGUACAAGCUAUCACCUAGAGGAGUGGUAAAUGUUGGAGGAUCCACGUGGGAUGGAGAAGUAGAAGGAAGAGCAGAAAAAAAAUCCCCAUCAUUGGACCUAGAACAGAAAGAGGAAGUAAAACCCUAUUUUCCACCUAUUCCUUUCCCACAAAGGUUAACGAAAACACAAGAUGAUAAGAGUUUCCUCAAAUUUCUUGAUGUCUUCAAAAAUCUUCAAAUCAACAUCCCUUUUGCUGAAGCCCUUGUUCAAAUGCCCAGCUAUGCAAAGUUCCUGAAGGAGAUCCUGAGCAAGAAAAGGAAGAUUGAUGAUCAAGGAACGGUAAUGUGGACAGAGGAGUGUAGUGCAAUCAUUCAAAAUAAAUUGCCUCCAAAAUUAAAAGAUCCAAGAAGUUUUUCUAUCCCUUGUAAUAUUGGAAAUCUUGAUUUUCAAAAAGCUUUAGCAAAUUUAGGUGCUAACAUUAAUCUUAUGUCCUAUAAAGUUUUUAAGAUACUAGGGAUGGGAGAGCUAAAAUCAACAAGGAUGUCUCUACAGUUGGCAGAUCGAUCAAUCAAAUAUCCAAGAGGGAUUGUAGAAGAUGUGCUCGUCAAGGUAGGUAAAUUUAUCUUUUCUAUUGAUUUUGUUAUUCUUGACAUUGAUGAAGAUAGAGAAGGAUCCUUAAUCCUUAGAAGACCCUUUCUUGCAACUACAAGAGCAUUGAUUGAUGUGUAUGAAGGUAAAUUAACCUUGAAGGUAGGUCAAGAGGAGGUUAUUUUUGAUGUUCUUAAAACCUGUAAACUUUCCAUGGAUUAUAAUGACUGUUUUAGGAUUGAUGUUGUUGAUGAAUGUGUAAAGGACACUUUGCAUAUUAAAGAUAAAGAUGACAUUAAUAAUCCAAGCAUCAUACAUGAGAAAGAAAGUGAAUUACUAAAGCAAGAAUUGAAACAACUUCCAUCUCAUUUAAAACAUGCAUUCUUUUGUGAGAAUAAUUCUUUUCCUAUUAUUAUUUCUUCUCACUUAACACUUGAUCGAGAGGAAAGGUUGUUGAAGGUUUUACGAAAACAUAAGGAAGCCCUAGGAUGGUCAAUUUUAGAUUUGCAGGGAAUAAGUCCAAGUGUGUGCAUGCACAAGAUCUUGAUGGAGGAAGACUACAAACCUUCAAUUGAGCAUCAACGAAGAUUUAACAUAAACAUGAAAGAGGUAGUCAAAGCUGAGAUCAUAAAACUUUUGGAUGCUGGUAUUAUCUAUCCAAUUUUCAAUAGUAGUUGGGGAAGUCCUGUUCAAGUUGUCACAAAGAAAGGAGGUAUGAUAGUUAUUUCUAACAAAAAUAUUAUCUAUCCAAUUUUCAAUAGUAGUUGGGGAAGUCCUGUUCAAGUUGUCACAAAGAAAGGAGGUAUGAUAGUUAUUUCUAACAAAAAUAAUGAGUUAAUUCCACUAGAACUAUCACAGGUUGGUGUGUGUGUAUUGAUUAUAGGAAAUUGAAUAAAGCAACAUGCAAAGAUCACUUUUCUUUAUCUUUUAUUGAUCAAAUGCUUGAAGGAAUUGCAGGUUAUCUUUAUUAUUGCUUUUUAAAUGGUUAUUCAGGGUAUUUUCAAAUACCUAUUGCUCGCGAGAAUCAAGAGAAAACUACUUUCACUUGCCCUUAUGGUACUUUCGCUUAUAGGAGAAUGCCUUUUGGGUUGUGCAAUGCUCCUNNNNNNNNNNNNNNNNNNNNNNNNNNNNNNNNNNNNNNNNNNNNNNNNNNNNNNNNNNNNNNNNNNNNNNNNNNNNNNNNNNNNNUCUUCUUUUGAUUCUUGUCUUUAUAACCUCUCUUUAGUAAUGCCGCGAUGUGAGGACUCUAACCUUGUUUUGAAUUAGGAAAAAUGUCAUUUUAUGGUUAGUGAAGGUAUUGUUUCAGGGCAUAAAAUCUCACAAAAAGGAAUUGAAGUGGAUAAAGCUAAGAUAAAGGUAAUUGAAAAGCUACCUCCUCCAAAUUCAGUAAAAGGAGUAAGAAGCUUUCUUAGACAUGUAGGAUUCUAUAGGAGAUUUAUCAAGGAUUUCUCCAAAAUCACGAAACCUCUUCGUAAUUUAUUAGUUAAAGAUGUUCCUUUUGAUUUUGACAAAGAGUGUUUGAAUGCUUUUAAUAGGUUGAAGAAAGAGUUGAUUUCAACGCCUAUCAAUGCUACACCAGAUUGGAGUCUUCCUUUUGAACUUAUGUGUGAUGCUAGUGAUCAUGCUAUAGGAGCUGUUGGGAAAAAAAAAGGAAAAGCAAUUGCAUGUCAUUUAUUAUGCUAGUUGCAAAUUGAAUGAUGCACAAUUAAAUUAUGCCACCACUGAAAAAGAACUUCUUGCUAUUGUUUUUGUUUUUGAUAAAUUCAGGGCUUAUUUGAUUGGAGCUAAAACAAUAGUUUAAACUGAUCGCUCUUCUAUUAAGUAUUUAUUAGAAAAGAAAGAUGCAAAGUCUAGAUUAAUUCGUUGGGUUCUUCUAUUGCAGGAAUUUGAUUUAGAGAUUCGUGAUAAAAAGAGAAACGAGAACCUUGUAGCAGAUCACUUAUUCAGGCUUGAGUUGGGGCAAGAAGAGCAAGCAGAAUUGCAAAUCAAUGAAGACUUUCCUCAUGAACAUCUUCUGCUCUUAGCAAAUGCACAAGCUCCAUAGUAAGCUGAUAUAGUUAACUACCUCGCUUGCAAGAUUACUCCUCCAAAUCUUUCUUAUCAACCAAAGAAAAAAAAUUUUUCAUGAUCUUAAAUAUUAAUAUUAGGAGGAGCCUUUCUUGUUCAAGUAUUUUAGUGAUCAGCUUUUUCGACGAUGUAUACCGGAAGAGGAAAUGGAAAGUGUACUUCGAUUUUGUCAUUCAAUGGAAUAUGGAGGACACUUUGGAGCAAGAAAGACGUCAGUGCAUAUUUUAGAAAGCGGUUUGUAUUAUCUUAAUUUAUUUAAGGAUGCUUUUAACUUUGUUCGUCUUUGCGAUCGUUGUCAAAGGUUAGGUAAUAUCUCUAAACGACAUGUGAUGCCAUUAGAAAAUAUCCUUGAAGUGGAGAUCUUUGAUGUUUGGGGCUUGGAUUUCAUGGGGCCAUUCCCAUCCUCUUAUUUCAGCUAAUACAUUCUAGUAGCGGUGGAUUAUGUCUCGAAAUAGGCGAAAGCGAUUGCCCUUCCCAAUAAUGAUGCCAGGAGUGUGAUGAACUUCAUCAAGAAAUAUAUUUUCACAUGUCAUGGUACUCCGAGAGCAAUAAUCAUAGACGAAGGUAAUCACUUUUGCAACAAGUACUUAGAUUCCCUUCUUUCAAAAUAUGGUUUUACUCAUCGUGUAGGUACCCCAAAUCACCCGCAAACAAGUGAACAAGUGGAAGUCACUAAUAGGGAAAUCAAGAAGAUACUGGAGACCAGAGUUGGCCAAUCAAGGAAGGACUGGUCUAAGAAGCUCGAUGACGCUCUUUGGGCCUAUAGAACUGCAUUUAAAACACCAAUUAAUAUGUCUCCAUAUCGAAUGGUCUACAGUAAGGCUUGUCACCUCCAUGUUGAGUUAGAGCACAAGGCAUAUUGGAUAAUCCAGUUUCUUAACUUUAAUGCUAAGGAGGUUGUCAAAAGAGGUUGCUUCAAUUGAACAUGAUGGAUGAAAUGAGACUCCAUGCUUAUGAGAAUGGCAAAAUCUAUAAAGACCGCACCAAACAAUGGUAUGAUAAGCAUAUUAUUCUGAGAGGUCUAAAGGUAAGCCAACAAGUAUUACUCUAUAACUCUAGACUCUAUUUUUUUCUAGGUAACUUGCACUCUAGGUGGCCUGGAACAUUCACAAUCAAGGAAAUUUUUCCACAUGGAGCACUUGAAGUAGUGGAUGGAAAUAGGAGUUUCAAGGUGAAUGCUCAAUGGUUAAAGGUUUACCAAAGUGGAUACUUUGAUCCAGUCAAAACCGUUAUAAGCCUUGCCUAAUUUUGCCUUAUGGGUCUAGUGCGUCGAGCUUAACGGCGUUAAAUGAAAGUGCUUAUGGGAGACACCCAUAUUCUCUUCCUUGGCUUUCGUAUUUUUGAUUUAUUUUUAUCAUUUUCCUAUAAUUUUUAAAUCAUACUUGCUCUUCUGUGUUUGGUAAAGUUAUUUCAGGAACAAGUUGAGGUGACAAGGUUUAGCACGCCCUGACCGUGUUUAGCAGCACGCACGUGCUUUAAAAGUGAAGAUCGGUCUUGCAGGUCAGACCCUAGCAAGCUCAAGCCGUGCUAGCUGGCACGCCCGUGCUCUAAAAAGGUGUAAAAGAGUCUUGCAAGUCAGAGGCUCGCACGCCCUGACCGUGCUCCAACAGCACUCCCGUGCUAAGGUAAGACGAAUUUUACUCUUGCAGGUCAGAGGCUCGCACGCCCUAGCCGUGCCAAUUAGCACGCCCGUGCUCUAAAAAGGUGUAGAUCAGUCUUGUAAGUCAGAGUCUAGCACGCCCAUGCCGUGCCAGCCAGCACGCCCGUGCUAGGUAAGACGAAUUUUGCCUUUCCAGGUCAGAGUCUAGCAUGCCCAAGCCGUGCCAGGUAGCACGCCUGUACCAAUCAACGCCUCAAAGGUUUAGGCGUCAGCACGCCCUGACCGUGCUACGAAGCACGCCCAUGCCACAUUUCAGAUCUGCGCUUUUAAAGAGCAUCUUUUUGGCUAUCGUGCAUCCCUGUCUAUUUAAAGCGCACGCCCUAGCCAAUCUUCCCACUUUUUCACUUCACCUUAACGUACGUCCCCUCCUCUCCCAUUCCUCUUCAUCUUUCUUUCUCUUUUUUCUCUCAAACCAAAAGCUUAGCAAAAUAAAUUUCUUCUCUUUUCUCCUUCUUUCACCAUGCCUCCAAGUUACAAAUGCAGCAGGCCUGCCUCUUUAGUGGCCGCAAGAACUCAACCAAUCGCCCAUCCUCUAACUGAUCCUCCUCUGACCGUUCCUUCUCCUAAAGCUCCGGUUCCUCCUCCAUUUGAGAUCGGCUCGCCAGAAUAACAGGAAAGCUACAAUAAACUUUCUCUUCAUCCUAUUUUGCCAAAUCGUUUUGUUGAUGAAUCUGCUUUAGCACAAGUGGAGCUUAGAGUGCGGUUUUAGAAACCCUUAAGCAUAUUAGGUAGGAACAGUUUAUUGCCAUGAAAGACCUUGUUUAUGUGCCUUUGACCUUAGCAUUUUUGAGUUCAUAUUAUACUCUUAUUCGUUUGUUGUUGUUGAUUUCCCUAGCAAAAUUAAAUUCAGACUUUCUGGAAGAAAUUAUGAACUUUCGGUAAAUGAGGUUAGUCACAUCUUUGGCUUCCGCACUGAAAAUGUCCUUAAUCAAAUACCUAAGGAUAAUAGAGAAAAUAACUAUAAUCUGAGGUUUUCAAAAGCGUCAAAAUUGAGAAACCCAGCCUUGAGGUAUAUUCAUAAAUUCUUAGCCAACACUAUUUUUGGGCGAAGCGAGAGUGAUGGAAUAUUGAGUUUAAAUGAAUUAUAUUUUAUAUGAGCAAUCGAUCAGGGGAUUUUUCUGAAUGCUAUUGGUUAUGCCUACGAUGGGCUAGAGUUGCACGAGCAGAUAGAGGAGCUAUUAUGAUGGGGUGUUUUGUGACACAAAUUUCAUUUUGUUUGAGAGUUUGGAACCCUGCUCGACUAGUUUAUGAUAGUGUGAGAGGAGGAAAGGGCACUAGGCUCGACUUAGAUGUCAUGGUGCAUAUGAAAUUGGUAGAGAAGAGAGGGGAUUCAUUCCAUAUUGUGGGAUCUCGAGAAGAGAGUUCUGAUGAUGAGGAGGCUGAGGAUGCUGGUGACAUUAACAUGGAGGAGGGUAAUUCGAAUCAUUUUCGUGGUCUUCGUACUUCUUCUGGUGUAGGUACCUCUAGAGCUGGUCCUUCUUUUCAAAGAGCGUUUGACUUGUCCAACGAUGAAGUUCUUGCACGUAGAUGUCCCAAAUGGACAUGUUUGAUGCCCGCCUUAAUGGCAUGGAGUCCAUGAUUACUGACCGAUUCCAGUCAAUAGGGAUUAUGCAUGGGAGCCUCGACUCUCGUAUAGACACCAUGCAAGGCCAAUACUAGGGAAUUGCUAGCCAACUCCAAACAGUGAUUCAAUUGCUGCAGCCACAUCCACCUCCACCACCUGAAGAUUGAUUAUUUUUGGUUCUUUUUUGUUUAAUUUCUAUUUUUAUUUUUGUUCCUUUUAUUCAUGUGUUUUAGUAUUUUGGAUAUUAUUUUUCUUGUUUUUAGCGUUUCCUUUUCAUAGCUUUGAUAAUUUCCAGCACCUGGCUCUUAUCGUAUUUUUCCUUCAAUCUUAUUGUAUUUUUGAAUACAAUGAUGGUAAUGGUUUCUACACUCUCGUAUUCUGUUAUUACAUAGUUGAUAAUAUAAUAAGUUUGGGGAAUUAAUUUUUAAGCUCAUUGGGGAUAAUGUGCUAGAUUAAGUUGGGGGAAAGGAAAUUUAAGUUAAAAUUUUAGUUUUCUUUUGUUUCAUUGGUUUAAUAUGGUUGGAUUAAUUGUAAGCAGGCUUGAAAAUUAUCAUAAUGCAUUAAAAUGCAAUGAAUUUAGUUGUUCCUUAAAGCUAGUUUCUAUUUAGCUUAAUUUUUAAUGUUCGACAUAACAUAAUUCAUUGAUUUAACCAUUUACUUUUGAGAUUAUGAACACUAAUUUUUAUGGAUUUUAUGACUUAUAGACAUGUUUCUUUAAAAAUUUAGUUAACCUUGGUAUUCCUAGAACAAAUUAGAAUAUUCUUUGAGGCAAAAAUUUUAAAUGUUUACAUUUAGAAAAAGAUGAUUUAGGCAUUUUUUUGUUGAAAUCCAUAGUUAGCCUAGGCCACCUAUGUUAAAGUAUGACUUUUGUAUCCAAUUUGAAACCUAUAUCCAAAGUUCAUUGAUCACCUCUAUUAAACCUAGCCAUUAAACCAACUUAAUUUUCUACCCUAAGCGCAAUAAUGUAUAAUUGAAAGAUUUGAAUUUUAUCAAAACAUAACGACAAAAGGGAGAAAAUUUCAUUAAUACUACCAAGUGAAGCAAGUAGAAAAAAAAAACUCAAAGAGAAACUCCCCCUAAAAGAAGCAAUCAAUCAAGAAUUCAAGCUUGGGGAAUUAAAGCAAGGAAGGAAUUUUGAAAGUACUAUGAAAAGACGUUGCCAAAGUAUCUCUAAUUUUUGAGCUAGUGAAGAAACUUCAAGAUUAAUCUCCCUUUACAAAUAAAAUGAUUAUUUUGAUAUAAAUGAAAAUCUUGAUAUUAUGUAUUCUUUGUGCUUUUUGUCUAUCUUUUUAUCCUUGUUCUUUUUUUAAGCUAAAAAUAGACCUCUAAAACCCCAUUACAACCUAAAUAAAAGACCUUUUGAUCUUUUUAAAUUGUAGGUAUUUCGAUUGUGGAUGACCAAUUUUGCCUAUGAGAAUAUUGAAUUUAUAUUCUUACUUGAAGGUUAAAUAAUUUUUGAAAAUUCAUAUUCUAUUUUGUCAUAGGUUGAUUAAUUAUUGGUGUUAAAAAUCUUAUUAACUUAUGUUUAAAUUAAGAAAUGUGUUUUAUUGAAAAUUGAAUUUUUUCUGAAAUAUAAUUAGCAUAAAAAACACUUGAUUUAUUCUCAUGUUAAUGAUUUUGAUACUUUUGAAAUUGUGAAUAAUUAUCUCCAACUGUAUUGAAACUAGCUUUGUUCAUUGUUUGGCUUGUGUUUUAGUUUUUGGUUUUCUUUUGUUGCUUGAGAACAAACAAUGGUUUAAGUUUGGGGAAUUUUGAUAAGUGUUAUUUUUAUAGUAUUUUUAAUAUAAUUUCUAUUAGGAUUUUUAGUAGUUUUUAUUAUUUUAGUAAGCUUUUUAUUCAGUUUUAUUUAUAUUUUUCAUCAAAGCUUCAUUAAAACAUAAUUUACUUGAUCUUAAGGAAAUUUGUAGGAUUUUGGCACAGAAAAGAGCAAAAUAAAGCAGAACACUCAGGUUUUGGCACGCUAAAGCCAUGCAAUUCAGCACGCCCGUGUUGGAAUCAAGGAAAAUCAAUAUGGAGACUUAGAGCCUAGCACGCCCUAGCCGUGCUAUAUGGCACUCCCGUGCCGCAAGAAGACAUCAAUCUAAAGGCGUGCUUACCUAAGCACGGUCCGUGCUGCAUUCCAUCAUGAAGACUCAGAGCCUAGCAUGCCCUAGCCGUGCUAUAUGGCAUGCACGUGCCACAGAUUCUUCUUUAGACGUGCCCCUAAGCUUGGCCUGUGCUGAACCACCCUUAAAAAUUAGGCUCCAGCACGCACUGCGCUGCGAAUCAAGUUUUUUUUUGGGUUGCGAACGCCAGUGAAUCCCUGCUACAUAUAUGGGCCCACAUAAGAUGAUUUCCUGACGUGCAGAUCAACUUCUAAUCCUAUUUAGGUGCAUGGGAGAUUCCUAAUUGAGAAGAAAUUCCAAUUCCCUGUUUCCAAAAUGUUUCUUACUUAAUGAAGGCUCUAUUUCCUAAACGAAGUCGGAUUUUCUCUCAGGAACUCUAUAUAAAGAGAGAACCAAUUCAUUGUAGGGAUAUCUCUAGUUUUAAUAUCUUUUGGUCUAUUAUUUUUCUCUCUUAAUCUUGUUUUUACUUUUCAUUAUUGACAUUGAUUAUAGAUUUAUUAUCAAGUUUAAUUGAGUUUUAUUUAGUUACUAUUUUGAACUAAACUCUCAUACUAGGGAUUAGAUGUAGCUUAAUUUUUUUUCCAAUUUAUAAUAUUAGAUUCCCUUUUCUUUGUUCAAAGUAUAAUUUAUUAUUGAGCUUAAUCUUUCCAGGCAGAGUUUCUCCCUUGUAUUAAUUUAUUCCAUUAAUCACUAUCUGGAGAAGGGUUUGUAAUAUGAAAAAGGUAAUAAAUUACAUGAAAUAAUAACUUGAUGCGGAAGCUAUAUGGUUUGAUUCAUGGGGGGUUUUCAUAAGUUAACAACAUUAGAUUAUGAAUUCAUAAACAAACCAUAAAACUUAAUGAUUUAAUUCAUGUUUGAUUGCACUAUUGGAAGAUAGGUAAUUAGACCGGGUUAAAAUAGCUGCAAUACAUCGGGAGAGCUUGUUAGUGAUUUUAGGGUUGUUUCUCCUACUUGAACAACUAAAAUUGAUUAACGAACUGAUAAGAUAAAUUGGAUAGAAUUAAGUAAAGUCAAAAUCAUUAGUAGUUUUUAAUUCCUGAUUUCUUUUUAUAAAAAAUUGCUUGCUUGAUUUCUUUUUAUUAUCUUUAUUUGUCGAAUUUAGUUUCUUAAAAUAAUUUCCUGAAAUCGUCGUUUAAAUAAUAGUAGGUUGAUUGGUAUACAAUCCUCGAGGGAACGAUACUCUACUCAUUAUAUAUUACUUGUUGUGAUUUCGUAUACUUGCGAAAAUGACUGUCAGAAUUCUCAGAGAAAUUUAGCGUUUCUCUUACUAUAAGAAGCCUAUAUGAACUUAUUGUGGUUAAGAAUGUCACUCAAUAUAUAAAUGCUUUAAGAAGCAUGGAUGUCCACCUGGUUAGGGGAAUUUCAAAGGCAAAUAUGUUUUUUGAAAUAAAAUAGAAAUUACUAACCCUAUUCAAAGUGAUGAGAUUUCUAGUUUUCCAUAUGGAAUUACUUAAACUUUCGAUCUCAAACCAUCUCAUGCUACUGAGUGUGGUCUAACUAAAGAUAGUAUGCCAAAAUGAUGACUCUCAUGGAAACACCUUUAAUUCGUUCACCUGUCCCAUCUAUUAAUAAUGUGAACAUGAUUUUUGUCUCUUCAAUGGCAGGUAAUCUUUGUGUUACUCUCUCAUCAAUAAAAAAUAUAUCUUUGGAUCAUUAACACUCGAGCAACAGAUCACAUAAUUUAUUCUUUAAACCUUUUACAAAAUUCUAAGCCUGUAUAAGGUAUAUAUGUUACUCUUCCAAAUAAACAACUAGUUGAAGUUACUCAUAUUGGAGAUGUGUACCUUUCACCAUCUUUUAUUCGUUAUGAUGUCUUUUAUGUUCCUCAAUUUUCAUUCAAUCUUAUCUCAAGUUCUCAAAUAACCAAUUCUCCUAAUUAUUUUCUUUCUUUUCACCUUUAUAAUUGUGUUGUGCAGUACCAACAAUUGAAGCUAAUUGGCUUGGCUAAGAAAAAAAAAAAGAGAUUGUAUCAAUUGAUUUGUCCUACCUCUACUACUCAAUCUAUUUCUUCAUCCUUCUCAGUGUAAUGAUGUUGUCAAAAAUACAUUUCCUCUUUGAUAUUACAGACUUGAUCAUAUGCCAAUGUCAAGGCUCAAAAUUUUACACCAACGUGAUAAUAAUAAUUUUGUUGAUUGUUGUGAACCUUGUGAAACGUGCCAUUAUUCUAAACAAAAGAGAAUGUCCUUUUCUACUAGUGUUUCUAUCACAUACAUAUUUUGAUUUCAUUCGUGUUGACAUUUGGGGACCUAUGCCCAUUACUUCUCUUACUGGUUAUCAAUAUUUUUUUAUCUGCAGUAGAUGAUUUUAGCCAUGCUACUUAGAUUUUUCAUUUGAAUACAACUCAAAAGCUAGAGUUCAUCUGCAAAAUUUUUUCUUAUGUCCUUAACCAAUUUUAUAAAACCAUUAAGUCUAUCCGUAGUAAUAAUUGCCAAGAAUAUAAUAUGCCACAAUUUUACAAACUUAAGGGUAUAAAUCACCAAACUUUCUGUAUCUACACUCCUCAACAAAAUAGUGAGGUGGAAAGGAAGCAUCAACAUAUAUUAAAUGCGACUAGAUCUUUCAGAUUUCAAGCUUCUUUAACUAUGAGUUUUUGGAGUGUAUUCAUCCUUCAUGCAGUACAUCUUAUCAAUAGAGUACCCUUUCCAGUUAUUCAAAAUAAAACUCAUCACUAAACUCUUUUUAAUACCUAACUUGAUUUUUCUUGUUUGAUUUUAUUAACAUACAUCUUCAUCUUUUCUUACUCUUUUGAUAUAUGUUGAUGAUAGUUGUUCCUAGUGACAACAUGGCUGUCAUUCUUGAUAUAAAAUCUUACCUUGAUCAAACAUUCAAAAUUAAGGAUUUCGCAGUUAAAAUUCUUUUUUGGCUUAGAGGUCCUCGAUCUAAGCAAGGUAUCAAUAUCAACCAAUGAAAAUAUAUUCUUGAGCUUGUUGAUGAACAUGGUUAUCUUGGUUGUAAACUUGCCUUUAAAUUUCAGAAUUUAGGUUUCUAUAUUAAUAAAUGUCAAAAAAAUAUAAAACUUAAGAGAAUGCCAAUAUUAGUAGAAAAAAUAAAUCAGUAAUCCCGAAACUAUCUUUAUAUAGUUUCAGUGAUUCAAUAAAAACGACAACGACUGAUGACGGCAACAAAUGAUUGGCAACCGGCGACAGUAACGACAUCGGCGACAACGGUGAUACGGAAUCGCUACCACUCAACCACAGAACUCAAGGAAGCAUGGAGAAUACCUAAGUUUCUCACAUUAAUGGAAGCACAUGUUGAGUUCGAACUUGAAUUUCCAACGUCAUGCCUAAACCGUGCUUGGUUAGCACGCCCGUGCAAGGUGGCACGCCCCAGACCGUGCACGCUUCUGCCUCUCGAGAGACAACACUUGAUUUGAAGCACGCCCGUACCAACUAGCACGCUCUAGACCGUGCACGCCUCUGCCUCUCAUUAAACUAGUUAGCUUAUUUUGAGUUUUUGCAAUGUUAAUAGGUUGGGCCUUCUAUAAUUCGGCCACCCUUGAUUAUUUAGCCUUAUUUUGUUUAGAUUUAGUCAAUCUUUAGUUGAUUUGGAUUAGAUAUCCAAAUCCUUAAGUUGUUAUGAUUUUAUUAGUCUUAUCCUUAUUUGCUAAAUCCUUAUCCUUAGCUGAUUUAGACUAACUAAUCUAAAUCCUUUAAGGAUCUGGACAUCUCAAAAUUAGUAUAAAUAGCUUGUUAUAUUGUAAUUAUUUAUUAUCCAAUGAAUUAAUCAAAAAGAGACUUUCUUCUUCCAUGCUUAGGCGUGAUCUUGCUUUAGAGGGUGUGAGAUUGCAUUCUUCUAAUUGCGUCAAGAAUCAAGGUAAACUUAUUAAUUCUUUGUGGCGUUUAUCUUAUUCUUUUACUCUAUUAUUGGUGUUCUUGCUUCUUUAAGCUUUGGGUGCCAUAGAGAGGGGUUUAGUUUGAUCUUGGAUUUCUUCCAAAACUUGUCAUAGAGUUCAUGGAAUUUAUUUCCAUAGGGUUCCGCGUCGAACGGCAACAACAAUAACGACAACAACGACAAAAAAUAAUGUUAUUUGAAGAGAAUGUUAUUAAAGUUUCAAAAUAUGAUAUUUAUUACAAUAUCAUUUUGGUGAAUGUUAUUUAAAGAGAAGUGCUAGUCCUAUUGUCUAGCCCACGAUAUUAUUCUGGUAAAUAAUAUUAUUUAGCUAGUACUUCAGUGUCUCAUAAAAAAAAAUAGAAAGCUACAUAUCAGCAUAAAUUACACGUAUUCAACUUUUUCCGGAAGUGAAACAUUUUUUUUUUUGGAGAGGCAAAAAUAUUGAUAGGAUGAAUUGAUAAAAAAAAAAAAAUUGUAUUAUUGUAUUCUUUUACAUACUAACCAUCCAAUUUUCAAUUGCAAAAUAAUUAACAAAAUAUAUAUUCAAAAAUAUAUUUUUGUAUCAAUGAAGAAAAAUAAAGAUAUUUUUUAGCCACUUUAUUUAUUUAUUUAUUUGUAUGUUUGGUGGGGCACUGGGGCAAGGCUUUGGCUUAUCUCCUAAUUUUGCAAUUGUUUUCUAGCUCAUUUAAUUGAAAAAAGUGAAAAGAAAUUUUAAAUUUGAAUAUUUAUUAGACGAUAAAUUUAACUAAUAAAUAAAUAAUUAUGUGUUGAGUUAAUCAUUGAAAGGUUUGAAAUCCUAUUAAAUUCUAUUUAUCCAAUUAAAACAAAAAUUAAACUCCAAUUUGUUUACUUAAUCCAAGUCGAUAUAGUCAAACAAUGAAUCAUUUAUAUAAAAAAAUCGAAUAAAAUAAAACUAAAGAGAUAUAAUGGGAAAAGGAUUGUUCGCGUUGUAGGGUUGGUGGCUUGGAAAUGGCCAAAAGGAGGGCAGGUUCAAAGUUUUCUAUUUCUUUUUUUUUUUUUUUUUGUUUGGUUGGUGAGACAACAAGCCGUUCAAAUAGUUUGAGAUGUCACUUUCUUGGAUAUUUGCCCAUUGCCCACAUCGUGGAGAUGGGCCAAUCCCACAAAUAAUAAAAUCAAUAAAUGACUAAAUAAAUAAAUUAUAUAUUUUCUUCAAAAGACGAUUUUGCAUAUUCUAAAAAAAAAGAAGAAAGAUGAUUUUCAUAAUAGAGGUACUUUUGAAAUUGAAUCAUCUCAUGCACCAUGUUCAGUAAAAUUAAUUAUUUUAGUAGUUAAUAAUUAUUUGAACAGCUUUUUAUAAAACGCUGAAAGUUAAAUACUGUAUGAAUUAAUUUUUUACAAAAUGAUACUCUAUGCCCCAUUUGGUAUAAAUAGAUUUAAAAUUUGAAAUUCAUUUAUAAAUGAAUUCUAGUAGAAUUCAUUUGUAAAUGAAUUAUACAUGUUUGGUAUGAUUAAUUUAAAACGUAUAGUUCAAUUUAAUUUCACAUGAUCAUGUAUGAAAUAAAUUUAUAAUUGAAAAUUUAUUUGCUUUUGUUUUUUAAAUAUCCUUGAAAUAGUAAUUUCACAAAAAUAAAUAAUAAAUACCAAUUAUAUUUAUAUAAUUUUUUUAUAUUUUUAUUAAAAUAAAUGUAUAAAAUAAGAACAAUAUUAAUAAGAUUUUUAACAUUUAAUUUAGUGACAAAUGGAUAUUUAACUUGAAUCUUUCUUAGUAAAAAAAAUGCGAAAAAAUAUUAAAAUAAAAGAUGAAAAAUAUUAAAAUGAAAACACAAUAAUAAGAAAAAAAUUUUCUAAAAAAAUAAAAGGUUUUGGUCAAGUUUGAUAAAAUAAAUAAUUAAAAUAAUUAAAAAAAAGUGAAAAAUUGACUUUGUAGAUAGAGAACGGUAGUUUUAUUAUAAAAAAUUAGAUUACUUAGUUUUGAGGAAUUCAAUUGGAAAUUCCACCUAUUUUUGUGGGUUUGGUGUAGUCAUGUCUAAUUCUAUUAAUUCCAUGAAAUUGAAUUCCUAAAAUUGAAAUUUAUAUUUUUUUCAUUUAGAACACAAAAAUAUGAAUUUCUAUAUGAAUUCUACAAAAUUUUAUGGAAAAUCAUUUGUUUCAAAUAAUGUGUUAAUCUCUAAAACCUAGUUCACACACUAUGCUACGGAAUACUAAUAAAAAAUAGCGUUUAAAAAAACUAUUUAAAAAACUGUUGAUCAACACAAUUUUUAUAAAUUUAAUUUAUGUUCUGAAAUCAAAUCAUUGAAAAUCUUUUUGGUACCCAUUCAUUUGCAUCCUCUUUGUGCACAUAAAAGAUUACUAGAAAAUUUUUCUUACAAAGCCAAAUUACCAAUUUUAAUUUGCAUAUUUUAGAACUCAAUGACAAGAAUUUUAAAUUACUGUUUAACCUAAAAGAAAAGCACCGAAGGCCACUUUAUGGCAUGCGUGAAUGACUUGGUAAUUGAAAACGUAAUGUGAAAUAUUUAAAGAUUCUUUGGCAACGAGACACAUAAGAGAGAAUAGAACUUUCCACCAUAUUUUGGGAAUGACCUUCCAAAAGCAACAUCCCUCUUUUCACUUUAUUUUGAUGAAUUAUUCUUUUUUUGAUUAAUUAAUUCAAAACGUGCUCAAAAAAUUAAUAAUGUUAAUCAUAAUUCCAUGUUAUAUAAAGUUUGGUCCCUAAAUGCAUGAACUUACUGUAUAAUCAAUAAUUACUAAUUAAUCCAUAAUUAUUCUUUUACUUUUGAUGGUUAAAAGAACUGCACGUUUUAAUUUUCCUUUUCUGAUGAAAUAUUCUUUUUUUCAUACUGAAAUUUGGAAGUUGUUUAGUUUUAAAAUUUUAAAUGUCAAUUUAAUAGAAUUAGUGACGCUAAAUUACACCUAUAAAAGAAAAAACUUCCAAUAACAGAAAAAAUUUAUCGUGUAUAUCUAAGAAAUUAACUUAAUAAUAAUAAUAGACGAGAAUAAAGAUAUAAGCAUUUUUUUUAUUAGAAGAGGGACAAAACAGUAAUAAAAAAUAAUAUAUUUUUAUACAUACAAUCAACUAUUGACUGAAUAUACCAAGAAUAGAUACACACUUACUGUAUGAUUAGUAUUUUUCCUUUUAACAACAAAUUUCAGUCUGCUAUUAUAGAUUAAAAUAUUAUUUCAAGGUUUAAAUCAAAUAUAUUUUUUUUUUUUGAUAAAAUGGGUGAAUGAGAAAAUAUGGAUUAAGGGUUGUUUGCUGUUGUCCCUAAGAUGAUAGCCCUAAUGCUAGCUAAGUAGCCUUUUUAGUUUAGUUACUGACUUACUGAAAUAAACUCAGAACCCAAAAGUAGUUUGGACCAAACGAAGCAAGUGUCCGACAAUAUCAAAUCACUUUUAAUCCUUCCUGAAAGAACACUUAAAAUUCCAAAGUCUCUUUUUCUUUUUUGUUAUUGAUUGGAACCUCAAGGAAAUUGAGUUCAGCUUUUAAUACAAUUGGGGCCUCACAAGCAGCUUCUCAAGCCUCAAUUUAGAUUAUAUAUGUCCUUGAAAGUGAUUGUUACUUUGUUAGCAUUUGAAAGCUUGCUUCUUUUCUUCCUUUAUAUAAUUCAAAUGCCACAUUCACAUCUAACCUUCUAAUAAUUUCAGUUCAAAUCCAUUAAUAAAGAGUAACUCAAGUAAUAAGGCAUACGUGAAUUCAACGGGUGACUUCUAUAGAAUUAAAAGUCUAAUCCAUAGAAAAACACUUAUGGAAAAUGACAAUCACAAAUUUUAAAAUGAUAUUAUUUAGGAUCUAUUUGGUAAAAUUAAUUGUUUUGUUAACUGUUAAUUAUUUUAGUAGCGUUUAAUUAUUAGCGGUUUGAGUAGCGUUUUAUAAAAUGUUAAAAACUAAACGUUAUAUAAGUUAACUUUUCAUAAAACGUUACUUUAAUCUCUAAAAGCUAGUUCAAACGCUAUGUUAACGAACACUAUCAAGCAUAGCAUUUAGUGUUUUGAUUAAAAGCUACUUAAAAAGCUAUCUCAAAUGUUUAGUUUUUAAUAUUUAGUUAGUUCAAACGCUAUGUUACCGAAAAUUGUCAAAAAUAGCAUUAAGCGUUUUGAUUAAAAUCUACUUAAAAAACUAUUGUCGAACAUAGUCUUAAUCUCGUACUGUGUGAGGAUAUUUGUGAAAAAUAAAUAAAAAAUCAAUUUCAAUCAUACGUAAGUAUUAAACGUGUGCCAAUUAAGUAACAUCAUCAAUUAUAUAAACCUUGAUAAAACCACAUUUCAAUUAAAAUAUAAUUUGUCCAAGUAGCAAUUUUUAGGUGGUGAUAGGAAUAAGAAGAGAAAAAUAAAACUUAAUUAAAUUAGUUCGAAGUCUAUGUCAAUUUGUCUUGCAGUUGCCAUUUUGACAAACUGUCUGCAUUGUAUAUAUGCUGAUGUCUAACCAAAUUCAUGUCUAACCAAGACUGCCACUUGUCAACUGGUUUAAUACUUGAUUAGAUUCAUUAUCCUUAUAAUUAAUUAUAUUGACUAUACAAAUAUUAAAGUUUUUUCUUUUCUUCCAUUUUACAAAAGUUGAUCCCAACCAAUGUGAAAUAGAAAGCAGAGAAGGUAGAAAAUCACUUUAAUUAAGAACUUGCAAAAUUCAAUUAAACUGGGUAUAUAAGUAGAAAAUUGAAAUCACUGAAAAUGAUUGGAAGAACAGAAUAAUAUAUAUAUAUAUACACAAAGUAGCGGAUCUAAAAAUAUUUUUUUCAGGGUAAUUUUUUCAAAAAAGAGGGGUCAAAAUAUAAAUAAAUUGAAUUAAUUUAGACAAAUAUACAUAUUUAUAUAAGAAAAAAAAAAAAGGAGUCAAUUGAAACAUCUUUUUACUAAGUGGAUCCGGCACUCUAUAUAUAUAUAUUGAAGUAGAAGAUAUCAGUUUGAAAAUGAUAACAUAAGGUAGAAAACAAUUUUGUCAUAAAAGUAAAAAAUGUGUAAAAAGGGAAAAGCCAUGUUGGACCCAUAUCCAAGAUCCUAUAAAUGAACAUUUAUAUGCCUGUUAUUGACAACUACAAAUCCUGCAAAAGUUUGAGCAUGUGAAGUAAAGGAUUAGAUGGUUGCCAAGAAGUUUACUUCCAGCUACAUAAUGAUUUGUCUUUCAAUAACUACCAAAAAAAAGUUCAUCUAACCGUAUGCCUUCAAAACAUAGGUCGAAUUACAAAAAGCAAUAAUAAUAACAUCAGUCCAAAAAGCAAUAAUAAUAACAUAGUCCAACAAAGAAAAAUCACCUAUAAUAGUGUCAAGCUCCUCCAUUCUUGUUGAUAAAAUUUUGAAUCCAAAUUUUUCAAAGAUUCACAUUUUUAGCCAUAAAGGCUUUUGCAAGCAUUUCUUUCUCCACCAAAUAGUCAAAAAAAGUUGCAAGAGUGAUUUUAUCAUAGCCUUCAGUCUUCAUAACUUCAUCAUAAAGUUCAAGAAUAAUAAGUUGAUUUUUGUCAAAUCUUUAACGGCUAAUGCAAGCUUUUUUACUUCUAUAGCUAACUUCUCAACACCAUCAUCUUCAAAGUCAAGUUUUAUUUUUCUAUGAGAUUUUUUCUCGACGAAGGAAUGACAAUUGAAGAUGCUUCUUUCCCUUUUGUCACUUCUUUAGAUUCAACAUCAUUAUCAUGUGUUGUAGAAUCCACCUCAGUGCUCACAUGGAAUUGUAUUACUAAAAGACUUAGUAUAGCUCCCACAACAAUUGCCUUUUCAUCAUACAUUUCAAUUUUUUUGUUAAGAUAUUUUCACAAUUAGGAUGUGCCUAUUCAAUAUACAACAAUAUAAUUAGCAUAUAGAAUUUAUAAAUAACUGUAAUGUCAUGCGACUACUUAAAUCAACUAAUGGAUGUUCAAUAACAAUCUAAAUCAACAUUGUUGUAAGACUAAACAAAAGCAAUAUAAAAGAUUACGUACUUACGCUUCUUCAUCAUAAACAUUCUCAGCAGCAUUUAUCAUCUUCAAGUUUUCAUCGCAUCCAAAUCCACUUUUAGAUCGAAGUUUUAAGAUGAUUGUCCUCUCCUUUUUCACAGUCCUAGGAUGAUUCUCAACAUGUUCAUUGUAACAUUUAACUUUAUAUUUUUAGUUGAUUUCUUCUGUCACUCGCACCAAUGAUUCUGAUUUAAAGGUUGAAGAUGGUUUAUUCUCUUUUAAAGCCUUUUCAGCUAAUAUUUUCAGAAGAGUUUGAGACAUGAACUUAGACUAUCUAAAUUGCUUUACUUUGACCAUUUCUAUAUAUAAUAAUCAAGUAAAUAAUAAAUUCAACAAUAAAAACAUUUAAAGAACAAUAAGUACUCAUAAAUAUUAAUAAAGCAGUUGAAAACCCAAAACAAAUACAAAGCCAAUGAAAAAUCAUAUAUAUUCAUAAAGUUUAAUACAGGUAAAUAUUUAAUUAUUAAUACAAUCAUUCCACGUAUAGUUGCCAUCAUAUCUUAUUUGCUGCCCAUUCCCUACUCUCUUUUUAUUCUUCUCUUUGACUUGGAUUAACCCUUUGUCUUAUGGAUUGUUCAUCCUGUUGAGCAAUUGAUUCAUCCAUAAUACAGUCAUUAGGAACAACUCUUAUUAUAAGAUUAUGAAGGAUACAACUUGCUAACACCAAGUUGUUUCAUAAGACCAAUUGCAUUUUGAAUCUACGGAUCGAAAAUAUUUCUUUAGAAUGCCAUAUCCCCUCUCAAUAGUAGUUCUCAAGGAAGAAUGUCGCAAAUUAAAUAAUUCAUUUUUAUUUUCAAGAUGAUUGUCUCUAAAUUCUCUCAAAUAGUAUAGGUGUAACACCCCUUUCCGGUCCACCCGUAAACCCGAAUGAACCGAAUCGAGACGCUACAAACUGGUUGACUGUAUGGUCUGACAUGCUGAAAACAUAAUGUAUAUAUAUUGAAUAGAAUAUCAUGCUGAUGCUGUUUACAAAAAUAAUGUAAUUAAUAUUUACAAAACAUGAUACUAGUUUACAAAAUGAAAUGGGCCCAACUGUGUGCCCUGUACAUGCCAUAAAAUGGGUAGACAAAAAUACACAUCCAAAUGAGUAGCUACCCUGAAGACUGAGUCUUCUACAGAUGAACUGCAGCAGUUGUAAGCCGACUCUCUACGGACCAAUCUCAAAACCUGCGAGUUAAACAGGUAACUCGCUGAGCAAAUAAAGCUCAGUGGAUAUCUCAACAUAUAAAGAAACAAUNNNNNNNNNNNNNNNNNNNNNNNNNNNNNNNNNNNNNNNNNNNNNNNNNNNNNNNNNNNNNNNNNNNNNNNNNNNNNNNNNNNNNNNNNNNNNNNNNNNNNNNNNNNNNNNNNNNNNNNNNNNNNNNNNNNNNNNNNNNNNNNNNNNNNNNNNNNNNNNNNNNNNNNNNNNNNNNNNNNNNNNNNNNNNNNNNNNNNNNNNNNNNNNNNNNNNNNNNNNNNNNNNNNNNNNNNNNNNNNNNNNNNNNNNNNNNNNNNNNNNNNNNNNNNNNNNNNNNNNNNNNNNNNNNNNNNNNNNNNNNNNNNNNNNNNNNNNNNNNNNNNNNNNNNNNNNNNNNNNNNNNNNNNNNNNNNNNNNNNNNNNNNNNNNNNNNNNNNNNNNNNNNNNNNNNNNNNNNNNNNNNNNNNNNNNNNNNNNNNNNNNNNNNNNNNNNNNNNNNNNNNNNNNNNNNNNNNNNNNNNNNNNNNNNNNNNNNNNNNNNNNNNNNNNNNNNNNNNNNNNNNNNNNNNNNNNNNNNNNNNNNNNNNNNNNNNNNNNNNNNNNNNNNNNNNNNNNNNNNNNNNNNNNNNNNUGCGAGCGCGCGAUGAAGGUCGCGAGCGCGCACUUGUAUAUCGCGAGCGCGAGAAAUGCCAAAUGAGAGUCAGAGAGGUUGCGAGCAUAAGUCGCGAGCGCGCAAUUGAAAGUCGCGAGCACGAGGUGUGUCAAAUAAGAGUCAGAGAGUUUCAGGUGAAAGUUGCGAGCGCGUAACUCAAAUUCGCGAGCGUGAGAAGGCAACGCGAACUCAUCAUGCAAUUCGCACGCGCUUCCAGCCUGCACUGUCUGUACUCUUUUGGUCAUAUCUCUCAAUAUACAACUCCGAUUUGGAUGAUUCAAAAACCCAUGUAAAGCUAACACAUAGAGGAACAAAUAACUCUUUUANNNNNNNNNNNNNNNNNNNNNNNNNNNNNNNNNNNNNNNNNNNNNNNNNNNNNNNNNNNNCAGCAAGCCCUGUUUCAACAUAAACUCAAUAUUCACUUCAUUUAUUCAAUACCUCCCCUGUUCUCCCCUGUUUCUCACCAUUACCAGUCCUCCCACUCAACAUGAAGCAAUAUAUUAUCUCACUAGCAACACACACAAUUCUCAUGCAAAGAAAAAUGGAAAAUAACAAGAGAUAUCAAACCUUUACUCCAAAAAGCUUGAGUUGUUCUUUAGCUUCUCUUCUCUACACUCUUAGAACUCCCUUCACCUAUAAAUAAGAAUUCUUAUGAAUUCUAAAACAAUAACACCAAAUGAUUCAAUCAUGAACUUAAAGAAGGUUUACUUACUUGGAUAGAAGAGAAGUUUAACUACCAUUAAAAUUGCAAGGAAGGUGGAAGAGGAAAGGAAGAAAACGAAGAAGAUGAAGAUCAAGAUGAAAAAUGGGAAAGUGAAGUGAUAUGCACGGGUAGGCUCUAGAAUAUCCAUGACUUUGUGUGUAAAAGUUCUAAAUGGUACCUCAAUAGUAAACAGGCUACAACUUAAUACCCAAGCUUGAUCUUCUAAUACAAAUAAAUCCUCACCCAUAUGCUUUGAUCUUUUUCUCUCACUCAAGUAAGUCCACUUAUAAUCCCGUUCUACCCCAACCGGGUUUGGUUCAACUCGACUCGACUCGACUCGGUAGGAUGUCACAAUAGGACACCACGAUAUGAAGUUUUAUUCCAUUUCGAAUACUAUAACCAGUAUCACCAAGAUAAUAUUUUCCUACAAAGUUGAAAUGAUUGAUAACCACUAAGUAUUUCAUAUAUAUAUAUAUAUGUAUAUAUAUAUAUGUGUGUGUGUGUGUGUGUGUGUGUGUGUGCAUAUAUUUCAAUUUUAAAAUUUAUAUUUAUAAUACCUUCGAAAAUUUUUAAGUCCUCAAAGUCUUGAAAGUGCAUAAUUUAAGACACGAGCGACACGAGCAACAUGUGCACUUCUUUCCUAAUCAACUAAAACAUAAGUAAACUUUAAAUCAAAAGCAACUGCAGCUAAUGCAUUUUGGGUUGUGCUAUCUUUUUUACCAUAAAAGUUUUAUUAAAUUUCGAAAGGGACUUUUGCAAUUACAUGAGUACCAUCUAUAGCUCGCACACAAUCCUUAAAUUAAAGAUAAAAUCUUAGGUUAUUCACUAUCUCUGGAGGUGUGGAAUUAUUUGGCUCUCUAAUCAGGUGUUGGUAUAGGUUUAGGAUUGCUUUCAACACAAUUCUAAAAUAAUGAUGAAUAGUUUCAACAGAUCUAUAAACAGUUCCAACAGUAAAAUAAAAUUUGGUAUUUUGUCUUAUAACUUGUAGAAAAAUCAUUACUUGUUCUCUAAUAGACAUAUUUGCAGUUGAUCGCAAAAGGUCGUUCCUAGUAAGUAGAUCACAAAGAUUGUUAACAACAAUAUGCUUCAUUUUAAGUUGUUCGACACAAUGCCUACCACCUCUAUUUAAUAAGCUAUUCAUAUAAUAAUCUCUCUCGGAAAUGGAAUUUAAAUAUGGUUCUCUAGGUAUAUGGGGUGUUUGGUAACGUUUUGACAUUGCUCAAAAAAUAUGACCAAAUCUCAAUUGCAUCUUGAUUCGUGAGGAUGGGCCAAACUAAUUUGAAGAAAGGAAGAUCAAUUAAUUUAAGAAAAAUCAAUUAAUUAUGGAGAAAUAAUUUUAAAAAAAGAACUUUUAGAAUGCAAAAAGAUUAUAAAAGGAGAGAGAGAGAGUGUGUGUGUGUGUGUGUGUGAUUUUCAAGUGUAGUAUCAUAGGAAAAUCAGAAUAAAUGAAAAUAAGGUCAAAGAUGCCUAUAUAUAGUGAAAAGUGAGAAAAAUGCCAAAAUAUGAAAAAAAAGGAAAAGUAAGUGAAAACGAUAAAAAAAUUGAACUAAUGGACCCUAGGGCACGCACUAGGGUAUGGCGGCCACACCUUGGUAUGCGGUAGCUACAGGACCUUGUGGUGGCCACACCUUGGCUUUGUGGUGACCUCCAACUUCUGGUCAUCUGUCCUAACUUGUUUUGCUCCAUUUAGGGAUUUUGGUGUGCAAUAUACCAUUGAAAAGUUAUGGAUGUCUAGUUUCUAAUACAAAUUGAAUCCUCUAAAAAUACUGACUGUCAUUCCAUUUAUGAUCGAAGAGUGGACAAAAGGGUCACCUUUGCCUUUUUAGGUUUAGCUCUGAUUCUUGAUCGAUUUGAAUACCAUUUUGAACCGCACUCCUUGCAAUUGCUAUCUAAUAAUUUAUGUAAAAAAUAUAUGUGUUCAUAUUUAAUCCUGUUCAGAAAUACAUUAUAGAGACUUUUAUACAAAUAUGCUAAAACACUUUGGCCUAGAGCAAGUUUUUAUCUUUUGGCCAAGGCAAUCACAAGCUUGAAAUAGGACUUUAUUAUUUUCACAAAUGAUUGUCAUAUUUCCCUUUCAUUCGAGCAAAUCACUCUAAAUACUCUUGCAUGGGAGAAGUCCAACUGCAAACAAGCUUGCUAGUUUCCUAAAAGGACAUAUCAUUUUCAAGUAAAGGCGAAAGGGGUGAAUUUUUAGAGAACAAGUAGAAACAAAUUCGAAUGUGUGUCCAGACAAGGGCUUUAAAGGAAGGGACCAAGAAUUCGAAUAUAAGUGUUUGGAUAUGUAUGUUCCUUGAUUAACAAUUGGGGAAAGAUUCUUGGUCACUUGACUAGCAAAGACUUCGCGUGGUUAGAGUGGGCUUGAUAGAUUCCAUGGUUGAUUAGUUGCCUAAAGUUAUAACAAGGUUGGUCGAAGAGAUAAAUGCGAAGUUCAAAGAAAGAGAAAAUAAGUUUCAAUAGUAGAAUAUCACUAAAUGACAAAUGAGCUUCAUCCUUCCCCUUUUAUAGCCUUUAAUGAGCAAGGAUAAAAAAGCUCCAAAGGUGACAACUAGGUGGAUGUGUUAAAGAUAAGGCAUUGCUGACUCAUAAUGAUACAUGGGCCUUUGAGGAAGAGCCCACUAAAGGGACCCAUGUGCAGUUGCAUUGUUAACAUUAGUCUAGUUCCAAGCCUAAAUGGUAGGUGCAAGCAGGCAGCCAAUAUUAAAGCCCAUACCUGAAACAUGAUAAGAUCAAGUAGCAGGGGCCACUUGGGCCUAAAAAUCCAACCCUGUAGAUAUUGUUAAGUAUUCAUUUUCUUUGAGUGUACUCCUCAAACUCUGAUAAAUAGGGGUAAUACUAUUGUAAAUGAUACGAAAUCCAAAACAUGCAAACUUAAAUACACUAGCAUUUACUCUCUCUAACCCUAAUUUCUCUACUUUCUCUCUAUAUUUCUCCCUCUUUCUUUUUGGACUAGUGCCUCAUGACUUGUUAAUCCAAACCCUAUCCUAUACUUAACCCAUCAAGCGCUCAAAACAAGCCUAAUAGACACAGCCCUAAAGGGCUCGAUCCAAACACUUAUAAACAGAACAAAUUUAUAUGGAUCCACCAACACCAAUCAUCAAUGAAGCUCAAGGGAACAAGGAGCACAACAAUGGCAAUCCAUUAGUACUUCUUAGUGGACCAAUUAUAAGGAGCUGUGCAAAGAAAUAUGGAGCAACCAUGUCCUUAUACAUUCAAGAACAAGUUACGGAAGAGCUCCAUGACCUUGCUUUCAACAAGUGCUAUGAAGAACUUAAAGGCACACAUAAGUUUCUCACAUUGAUGGAAGCACAUGUUAAGAUGGAACCUGAAUUUCCAACAUAUGGCACACCCAAACCAUGCUAGGUUAGCAUGCCCGUGAAAGGUAGCACGCCCAGGCCGUGCUAGCGUCUGCCUCUAGCGAGAUUAGUUAGCCCAGUUAUGCUUAUUUUGAGUUGCAUCAAGAAUAAUGGGUUGGGCCUCCUAUAAUUCGGCCCCCCUUGGGUUUUAUUCUUGAUUUGUUUAGAUUUAGCUAAUCUUUAGUUGAUUUGGAUUAGUUAAUCCUUAUCCUUAAGUUGUUACGGUUUGUUAGUCUUAUCCUUAGUUGGUUUAGAUUAGCUAAAUCCUUAUCCUUAGCUGGUUUAUAUUAAUUAUUCUAAAUCCUUUAAGGGUCAGGACAUCUGAGAUUUAGUAUAAAUAGCUUGUUAUAUUGUAAAACAAAAACACAAUUCAUUGAAAUAAGAAAUAUACAGAUUUUGUUCAUGCUUAGGCGUGUUCCUUUGAUUAGAGAGAUUGUGAGAGUGCAUUCCUCUAAUUGCAUCAAGAAUCAAGGUAAACUUAUCAAUUUAUUUGUGGCGUUUAUCUUAUUCUUUNNNNNNNNNNNNNNNNNNNNNNNNNNNNNNNNNNNNNNNNNNNNNNNNNNNNNNNNNNNNNNNNNNNNNNNNNNNNNNNNNNNNNNNNNNNNNNNNNNNNNNNNNNNNNNNNNNNNNNNNNNNNNNNNNNNNNNNNNNNNNNNNNNNNNNNNNNNNNNNNNNNNNNNNNNNNNNNNNNNNNNNNNNNNNNNNNNNNNNNNNNNGUCUUGUUUUCUUAAAUUCAUGUGUUUGUCUUCUUGUUUGCUUAGUUUUAAUUUUUGAAUUUGCAUUAAUUGUGUUAGUUAAUUUCAUUCUUGUUCAAAAAAAAAAAAAAAUUCCGGAAGUUGUGAUCUUAGAUCUUGCUAAAUUAGAUCUGCUAAAAAAAAAAGAGUAAGAAAAAAAAAACCACCAUUGUAGCUUGAGUUGUGUCGUGUGGAUUUUGUUCCUAAUUCAUAGGGAUUUUGUUCCUAAUUCUUAAGGAUUUGACCUUAUUUUGUGGAGAUUUAGCUUAUCCACUAUAAUCUUUUGAUAAAAUCUAAUCUUAACUACUUUGUGGAUAAGGUAACAGGAAUUAUUUGUCCAUAUCUUUUUGAGAUUUAAUUUAUCCACUAUAAUCCUUGUCAAAAUCUAAUCCUAACUAAAUUGGAUUAUAUUGAAAGGAUAAGGGAUGAUACAAGUUAGCACGCCCGUGCUUCAUAACAAGCACACCCGUGCUAGGCUCUGACUCUUAAUUGUCGGACCAAGCUAUACACGCACGCCCGUGCUCGGUUCUGACCUUAUAAAAAAAAUUUUUGAAAUUUUGGAUUUUCUUUGAUUGCUUGCUUUGUUUGGGGUAGAAUUAACUAGGUCUAUAUUUGGUUUGCUUUGUAGUAAACUAAAUUCAUACAUUAUAUCCAGAAAUUGUCUUUUAAAUUCUAGUUUCUUUAUUCUUGUUUUGAGCUUUUAUUUUGCUUUUAUACAUUGUUAGGGUGUGUUUGCUUGUUUACUACACUCUAAUUGAUAAUUAAGUAGUACAUUGUAUUGUUCUUGUGCUGCUAUCCAUUAUGUUUUGAGUCUUCUUUAUAGACUUUGUGCUUACUUUUAUUGUUAAGUUUUAUUCCUUGUUUCUAAAUGUGCUUUUGAGUUGAAUGGUUGACCUGAGAUUCUGAAGUACAAUUGGAGGAAUUGCAAGGAGUGAUUAAAGAGUGUAAACACGUGAGGGAGUGUUUAUUGUUAACUCAAAUCUAUUCUUGUUUUUCUGUUCCUUUGUUAACAAUGAGUUUAAGCAAAUCUGGAGAUGGUAAUGGGGAUGGAAAUCAAAUCAAAGAUCCUCAAUUGAAAUUUUUCAUAGAAUCAAUCCAAGGACAGUUUAGAACCUUCAACAAUCUCUUUCAAGACAUGAGGGAAUAAUUGCAAGAGAUAAAGGCUUCACAAAGCUCUAAUACAACUAGAGCCCGUCCACAAACUAGAUUCCAAACCUAUGAUGAUGAGGAGACUGAAAACACUGAUUUUUGUAAAAUUGAUGGGGAUUUGGGAUCAAUCAAAAUGAGGAUUCCAAAAUUCAAAGGUAACAACAAUGCUGAAGAAUAUCUUGAAUGGGAGAGGAAGGUGGAACAAAUCUUUGAAUGCCAUAACUAUUCUCAAGAAAAGAAAUCCCAUCUUGCUGCUGUUGAAUUCAAGGGUUAUGCUAUGUUUUGGUGGGAACAAUUGCUAUUAAAAAGAAGAAGGAAAGGGAUGCGACCUGUACCACCAUGGGAGAUCAUGAAAGAGUUAAUGCACUAAAAAUUUGUCCCUACUCAUUACUUUAGGGAUUUACAUAACAAAUUAGCUAGAAUGGUGCAAGGAGGAAGGAGUGUUGAAGAAUCCUACAAGGAGAUGGAGAUUUGCAUGGCUAGAGCCAAGAUUGAGGAAGAUGAGCAAAUCAUCAUGUCACGAUUCCUUGGAAGUCUAAAUAAUGAUAUUGCUAAAGCUUUAGAGAUGUAUCGCUAUGAUACCAUGCAAGAGAUGGUAGAUAUGGCCAUGAAAAUUGAAAAACAGAAAAAGGGGAGAUCCACCAACAAAUACUCUAACAACACAUGGGGAUCUAAAUGGCCCAAAGGAGGAGAAAAGAAAGAAUUUAGAGGCUCUAAUUCUCAAAGGAUAGAUUCAACUUCAAAAGGUAAAGAGGCUAUCCAAACUCCACCUAAAAGCAACAAAGGUAUUUCUAACUCUAUAACCCCUUCUAGAGAAAUUAAAUGUUUUAAAUGUUUGGGGAAAGGUCAUGAUGCAUCUCAAUGUCCUAACAAAAGAGUUAUGAUUGCUAAAGAUGCUGGGAAUAUUAGUUCUGAAUCUGAAUGUAGUGAUUAUGGUGAUAUGCCUCAAUUAAUUGAUGCUAAUGAUGAUGAUGACUCGGAUGAUCUAAUACUUCUUGAACAUGGUGAAACUUUAGUUGCUAGACGUGCCUUGAAUAUGCAUGUUAAGGAGGAAAGCCUUGAGCAACGUGAGAACAUAUUUCACACUAGGUGCUUGAUUAGUGGAAAAGUGUGUACUCUUAUUAUUGAUGGGGGUAGUUGCACUAAUGUUGCUAGUGUAAAUAUGGUGAACAAAUUGAACUUAACAUGUCUCAAACAUCCUGAACCUUAUAGGUUACAAUGGUUAAAUGAUUGUGGGGAGGUGAAGGUGACAAGACAGGUACUUGUACCAUUUUCUAUUGGGUGGUACCAAGAUAAGAUCUUAUGUGAUAUAGUACCUCUGCAGGCAGGCCAUUUAUUGUUGGGAAGGCCAUGGCAAUAUGAUAGAAUAGCACUUCAUGAUGGAUCCCACAACCGGUACUCUUUGGUUCAUAAGGGUAAAAAGGUGGUUCUUGUACCAUUAUCACCUCAAGAAGUCUAUAAAGAUCAAAGGAAGAUACUUGAGGGAGAGAGAGAGGUUUUGGCCUUGAGGAAAAAUGAAAGUGAGAUUUCGGGGUCGAAAGAACAAAAGAGAGAAAAGAGUAAGGAUAGAGGGAAAAAGGCCACAAAAAUAACAAAACAAAUUAAUGGCCCAAUUGUGAGUGAAAAACAGAAAGAGUAAAAAAAGAAACAAACUUUUUAUACAAGAGCUAGGGAGGUUAAGUGUGCUAUUGCCUUGGAGAAGCCCGUGUUGCUUCUUAGGUAUAAAGAGGUUUUAUUUGCUAAAACUAAUAAUAAUCUUGACAGUUUGCCUUCUAUGUUUGUUUCUAUGUUACAGGAAUUUGAUGAUGUCUUUCCUAGUGAAUUGCUUAGUGGUUUACCAUCUUUAAGAGGAAUAGAACAUAAAAUUGACUUCAUUCCUGGCUCCACCAUCCCAAAUAGACCUGCCUAUAGAAGCAAUCCAAUGGAAACAAAGGAGCUGCAAAGGCAAGUUGAUGAGCUUAUAGAGAAAGGCUUGGUGUGAGAAAGCAUGAGCCCUUGUGUCAUUCUAGUGCUUCUAGUGCCCAAAAAGGAUGGAACAUGGCACAUGUGUGUUGAUUGUAAAGCGGUCAACAAAAUCACUGUAAAGUAUAGACACCCUAUCCCUAGACUUGAUGAUAUGUUAGAUGAAUUGCAUGGGGCAACUUACUUUACUAAAAUUGAUUUAAUGAGUGGUUACAAUCAUAUUAGGAUGCAACCAGGUGAUGAAUGGAAAACUGCUUUUAAAACUAAGUAUGGUUUGUAUGAAUGGUUAGUUAUGCCUUUUGGACUAGAGUACAUUCAUGAGGCUCAUGAACCAUGUAUUACGUGCCUUCUUAGGAAAAUUUGUGGUUGUAUACUUUGAUGAUAUACUCAUCUAUAGCAAGUCUCUUAAUGAUCAUGUUGAUCAUGUUAGGAUAGUAUUACAAACGUUAAGGUCUAAACAAUUGUAUGCUAAACUUAACAAAUGCACAUUCUGUAUAGAUAGACUUGUAUUUCUUGGAUUUAUUGUGAGUGCACAGGGUAUUGAAGUAGAUGAGGAGAAAGUAAAAGCUAUCAUAGAAUGGCCAACUCCCAAAUCAGUUUCAGAGGUUAGGAGCUUUCAUGGGUUGGCAAGUUUUUAUAGAAGAUUUGUAAAAGAUUUCUCUUCAAUUGCAGCACCACUAAUAAAAAUAAUCAAAAAAGAAGUUGGGUUGAAAUGGGGAGAAGAACAACAGAAAGCGUUUGACAUGCUCAAAGGAAAGUUAACAUCCGCACCUAUACUCUCUUUACCUAACUUUGAAAAUACUUUUGAAAUUGAGUGUGACGCUUUUGGUGUGGGAAUUGGGGUUGUCCUAAUACAAGAAAAGAAACCUAUUGCCGACUUUAGUGAGAAAUUGAAUGGAGCCCAACUCAACUAUUCAACCUAUGACAAAGAGCUGUAUGCCUUGGUAAGAACUGGAAAUGUUUGGCAACACUACUUACUACUUAAGGAGUUUAUCAUCCACACAGAUCAUGAGGCCCUAAAACACUUGAAGGGUGAAAGUAAGCUUAAUAAAAGGCAUGGUAAGUGGGUUGAAUUUAUUGAACAAUUUCCAUAUGUGAUUAAAUACAAGCAUGGAAAAGAUAAUGUUGCUGCUGAUGCAUUGUCAAGGAGGUAUGCUCUAAUUACUGCUCUUAGUGCUAAAGUACUUGGAUUUGAGUAUGUUAAAGACUUAUAUGCGAAUGAUUCUGACUUUAGCAACAUAUAUGUAGCAUGUGAGCAUGGAGCAUUUGAUAAAUUCUAUAGACAUGAUGGAUAAUUGUUUAAGGGCAGCAAACUUUGUGUGCCUAAAUGUUCUAUGCGUGAAUUGCUUGUGAUUGAAUCUCAUAGUGGGGGAUUGAUGGGACACUUUGGGGUACAUAAGACUUAUGAUAUGUUAAAUGAACACUUUUAUUGGCCUCACAUGAUUAAAGAUGAAAGUUUGUAAUUCUUGUAUUGCUUGUAAACAGGCCAAAUCUAAGUCUAUGCCUCAUGGAUUAUACAUGCCUUUACCUGUUCCUAGUUCUCCUUGGAUUGAUAUAUCUAUGGACUUUAUACUUGAUUUACCUAGGACUAGGCGUGGUAUGGGCAGUAUAUUUGUAGUUGUUGAUAGGUUUAGCAAGAUGGCUCAUUUCAUUCCUUGUCAUAAAACUGAUGAUGCCAAUAAUGUUGCUGAUCUAUUCUUUAGAGAAGUGGUAAGAUUAAAUGGGGUACCACGAACUAUAGUUUCUGAUAAGGAUGCAAAGUUCCUUUCACACUUUUGGAGAGUUUUGUGGGGUAAACUUGGAACUAAAUUACUUUAUUCUACAACUUGUCAUCCACAAACAGAUGGACAAACUGAAGUUGUGAAUAGAACUUUAGGAACAUUACUUCCAUUGUGGGUAAAAACUUGAAAACUUAAGAAGAUUGUUUGCCAUUCAUUGAGUUUGCAUAUAAUCGUAGCAUACAUUCUUUCUCAGGGUUUAGUCCAUUUGAGCUUGUUUAUGGUUUUAAUCCACUAACUGUGUUAGAUCUUAUCCUUUACCUUUAAAUGAACUUUCUAACUUAGAUGGCGCUCAAAAGGCAGAGUUGGUGAAGUCUUUACAGGAGACGGUUAGAGCCAACAUAGAAAAGAGGAACAAGCAAUAUGCUGAUAGAACAAACAAAGGCAGGAAGAAGCUGAUGUUUAUGCCAGGUGAUUGGGUUUGGGUACAUUUUCGCAAGGAAAGGUUUCCUAACCAAAGGAAGACUAAGCUUGAUUCACGUGGAGAUGGUCCAUUUCAAGUCUCGGAGCGCAUCAAUGACAAUGCCUACAAAAUAGACUUGCCAGGUGAGUAUGGUGUUUUUGCCACUUUCAAUGUUAGUGAUUUGUCUCCCAUUGACAUGGACGCAGAUUUGAGGAAAAAUCUUUUAAAGAAGGGGGGGAUGAUACGGAUCCACCAACACCAAUCAUCAAUGAAACUCAAGGGAACAAGGAGCACAACAACGGCAAUCCAUUAGUACUUCCUAGUGGACUAAUUACAAGGAGCAGUGCAAAGAAAUAUAGAGGAACCAUGUCCUUAUACAUUCAAGAACAAGUUACACAAGAGCUCCAUAACCUUGCUUUCAAGAAGCGCUAUGAAGAACUUAAAGGCACACCUAAGUUUCUCACAUUGAUGAAAGCAUAUGUUGAGAUGGAACCUGAAUUUCCAGAUAUGGCACGCCCAGACCGUGCUAGGUUAGCACGCCCGUGUAAGGUAGCACGCCCAGGCCGUGUUAGAGUUUGACUUGCGAGAGGAAAUAAUCACCAUGAAACACGCCCGUGCAUAUUGGCACGCCCAGGCUGUUCUAGCGUCUACCUCUAGCGAGAUUAGUUAGCCCAAUUAUGCUUAUUUUGAGUUGUAUCAAUACUAAUGGGUUGGGCCUCCUAUAAUUCGGCCCCCCUUGGAUUUUAUCCUUGAUUUGUUUAGAUUUAGCUAAUCUUUAGUUGAUUUGGAUUAGUUAUCCAAAUCCUUAAGUUGUUNNNNNNNNNNNNNNNNNNNNNNNNNNNNNNNNNNNNNNNNNNNNNNNNNNNNNNNNNNNNNNNNNNNNNNNNNNNNNNNNNNNNNNNNNNNNNNNNNNNNNNNNNNNNUUAGUAUAAAUAGCUUGUUAUAUUGUACAACAAAACACAACUCAUUGAAAUAAGAAAUCUACAGAUUUUGUUCAUGCUUAGGCGUGUUCCUUUGAUUAGAGCGAUUGUGAGAGUGCAUUCCUCUAAUUGCAUCAAGAAUCAAGGUAAACUUAUCAAUUUAUUUGUGGCGUUUAUCUUAUUCUUUACUCUAUUAUUGGUGUUCUUGCUUCUUUAAGCUUUGGGUGCCAUAGGGGAGUUUAGUUUGAUUUUUGAUCUCUUCAAAAUCUUGUCAUAGAGUUCUUGGAAUUAAUUUCCAUAGGGUUCCACAUCACAAAUUGUCAUCCCGACAAAUGCCUAAAUUAUAAGAAUGAUCUUAUGUACUAACAAUAUGUCAGUUGAAUUAAAAUUUGCAUUGGAAUUGAUAUUUUAAUUCUUCUUCCAUCCAUAAAUAAGUGUCACAUUUACACUUUUCUCAUCCCUUAAGAAAGUCAUUUAACUUGUUUAACUUGUAAUAAAUUAUUAGUAAAUUAACUAUAUUAUCUUUAUUUACAAUAAAGAGAGAGAUUUUUGAGAAUUAUAGAAAAUAUUUUCUUAAAUUUUUGGUAAAGAUGGGAAAAAUUAUUAUUUCUUAAAAUCUACAAAUGUGACUUAUUUUUGAACACACUUCUUUCAUAAAUGUAACACUUAUUCGUGGACAGAAAAAAUGUUACUUAUAAGUCAAUCUAUUAUUCUUUGCAAAUAUGUUUGUAAAAUAUUCACUCUAUAAAUUAAUUAUGGUGAUUAGUGUCUUAAAUAUAGAAUUAUCUGAGAAGUAGAAUCAUAAUGCAAACCCACACUCAUGUUGAAAUUCUCUCCCCUCAAUAUCAAGAAAAUAUUUAUUGUACAUUUAAAUUUUUAAUAAUUUUUUUAUAUUUAUUAUCAGAAUUAUAGUUUUACUUUAUUCAUAACUAGCCUUAUAUUCAUGCAUGGUUUUAAUAUAUAAUUUUUUAUUAAUUUUAAAUUUUUUCAAUUAUAAUAUUAUUAUCGAUUUUUUAUUUAUUAUAAUAUAUUGUGUAUGUUGGCUCAAGGGUCAAUUUUAUUGUGAAAUUUUGAUGAUUAUACAAAAUAAAUAAAUUUAAUAUUCUUGUAUGUACUAAUAUUAUUUUAUACAGAUUUUUUAAAUAUGGAAAUUAUUGAAGAAAUAAAGUUCCUACAACCCAAGACUUUUAUUUGAAGACCAUGAAGAUUAAUGAAGAUAUUUUCUAUUGGUUAGUAUUAUAAUAAGUCUUAAAAAAUCAUUUUAGGAUAGAGAGUAAAUAAUUUUAUAAGCACAAAUCUAUUUUAUUUUUCUCUCAAAAUUGUUUUGAAAUGUGUUUUAAAUAAAUUUAUUAAGAGGAUAUAGCCAAAAUCUUUACUCUUCAUUUUUUUCCAUCUAAAAUAUCUUUGUAGUAAAUAUCCUUGGUGGCUAUUAAAUGAAAUUCUGCAAAAGUUGUUUCUGAUCUAAAAAGCAGUUUCUGAUUUAUCAUAGCUGUCUAUUUCUAAUACAACUGGCUGUUUCUGCUGUAAAAGUUACACUGUUUUCUAAGCUAAACCUUUCACCUCCAAACCUUGCGUGUGAAUAUUAAAUGUGGUCUGACAGCCCUUUUAAUUGCAACCCAUGCAUUGCCUCUUUAGUUUAAAAAUAUUAGAAACUUCAUUGCUCAUUAAAGCAAAAACAGAAAUGGUUGAAGUUGGCUAGAACCUUUGGAAAAUCUAGUGGGAUAAAGGUUAGAUCUAGGUGUUGAUCUAUUUCCUUGUAUUGUGGGUUUGUCUCUUACCCUUAAAAAGAGAUAACAUAGUGGAGAAUCUCAAGUGAGUCUUAGGGAGUGAAUGUAGGCGAGUUAGUGCUGAACCACUAUAAAUCUCUGUGUUUAUCUUCUUUUAUUUUCUGAAGUUCUGCUUGAUUAUAUUCUAUUUAUACAACUGUUAAUCUAUUCAGAAAUGCAAAGUUCUUAAUGAGUUUCUGAUUCUAAACGUGAAUAAGCUUUAUCUCUGUGGAACAUUAGAACUCUGAAUUUCUGUAUUGUGAAUAUACCAAGUUCCAAUCUACUUUCGACAUUCAGUAUAAAUCACAAUAUAAGUAAUAAUCAGUUUUUCUAAUCUUGCUUAAAGCUUUGUGAACCAGUUCUAAAAUGCAAUAAUUGCUUUUUCACAAAAUCUUUUUAAAAUAGCAAUAAGCAUUGUGAAGCUAUUCUAAUCGCAAUAGCUGUUCUUCACAGAGUCUUUCUAAAAUUGCUUAAACUUUAUGAAGCUGUUCUAAUCGCAAUAGAUGUUCUUCACAGAGUCUUUUUAAAAUUACUUAAGCUUUGUGAAGCUAUUCUAAUCGCAAUUGCUGUUCUUCAUAGAGUCUUUCUAAAAUUACUUAAGCUUUGUGAAGUAGUUCUAAAUGCAAUAACUAUCCUUCACAGAGUUAUUAUAAAAUUGUUUAAUCUUUGUGAAGCAGUUCUAAAUGCAAUAAUUGUCCUUCAUAGAGCCUUUCUAAUCUUACAAUAAGCUUUGUGAGGAAGUUCUAAACUUGAUAACUAACUCUCACAAAUGCUUUCUAAUUCCGCUGCAAUAGAAUUCUGAUUUUUGUUUUUGAAAGUUAAAUUUUUAGAAAACCCAAUUCACUCCCCUCUUGGGUUGUAUCAUACAUAAACGGGACCCACAGUGUAAUUUAAUUUGAAUUUGUUGGUCUAUUUGUCUAGAAUAUGUAUUUCUCGCUUUUUUUUCUCUUUCUCAUUAAAGAAUAUUUAAAGAAAUGUUAGAUGCAUUUUUAGUAUAAAACUCUAGUUGUGAUAAGCUUCUUCCAACUACAUUUGUUUCAAAGCUACAUUUGAAAAUUUUUAUAUAUUAGUCAAAUCACAAUUAAAUUCAACUAAUCUAAACUAUAUCAAAAAUGUUUCAAUUUUGAAACUACUUAGCGAAUUGCAAUUUAAAAAUUUCAAAUAAAAUAAAAUGCAUUAUAAAACUCUUAUUAUGCAAAAAAGAAAUAUUCUAGCUAUAGUUCUUUAAAAACUAUAUUUAAAAUGUUUUUAUAUAUACCAUAUAAUUUAUCACAUUUACUGAGCGGUUUAUUAUGCAAAAUGUUCAUUUACAUUCAUUUUAAAUGACUUGAAUUAAAAUAAAAAUAUUUAGUCCUUCGUUUAAUCAAAUUUUUAUUAUAAAUAAUUUCAAAUGAUGAUAAAUAUAUUGAUAAUAUAUUGAAACGACCCGGAAAAUCUUUUUCAAAAAAUUUUGCAUUUAAAAAUUUAAUUGUAAAUUUUAACCAACGAAAUUUAGCAAAAAAUAUUUUAUUAUUGCUCAAUCAGACCUGUAAACUAGUUUGGACUUUUUGAAAACCAAGUGAAAAACUCGUAAACCAAGCAAAAAACUGAGUCAAAUCAUUGAAUUGGACCAAAUCGAUUCAAAUCGAACCGGAAUAGUCUAGAAACCAGCCUUUUCUUUUUUUUUUUCCUUUCUCUUCUUCUUCUUUCCUCAGCUCCAGCGGGUGCCGUUCCUCCCUUCCCGUUUUCGGCCAUCGCUCGACGAGAGCGAGGUGGCGAUCGACUCCCCUAGAGACGCUGGUCCCGUUUUCGCCUUCCUUCCAUGCAAGCAAAGCCUUUAGUGCGCAAAUCAAGGCUGUCUCCAUCGACAGUUCUCGUUCUUUGAUCUCCUGAAAUACCAGGUAACAUGAAGCUUCAAAGUGAGUCUCGAUCGACUCAACUCCUCCACGGGAACAUUUUCCAUCUAAGAAUCAACGAAUUCGGUGGAGGGAACGGAAAAACCACCAUGAGUGGUGUCGUGGAGGUGGUUGUAGUGGUCGAUCCGGCCAAACGAGCCACUACCUCCUGAAAACGACACCAUAUUCGGCUUCAACAAAUGAUUUCGAGCAUUUUUGCGUGUGGGUUGCUUGAUUCUAGGUCGUUCGGGAUUUUUCGGCCACCGUAGAGGGCGGCACUGACGACGCUCUAGUGACCGGCCGGUGAGGCCCCAAGAGACACAAUCCUCAGCUCCUCAUGUAGAUUGCGAUGGUAUAUGUCAAUCAUCAUUUGGUAAGCAAUAGAACCCUUAUUCGAAGUUAAUUGCAAUUUUAUGGUUUAUUUCUCUUUAGGAUUUGAACUUGAUCUUUGACUAUUCAAAUUUUAAUAAUGUAGUUGGUAAGUCGAUCUUAAAUUUAAUUUCCUAAUAUAAAUUCAGGUUUGAAUUAGUAGAUAAUGUGAGUAAGUUUUUAUUGAACUAAUUGUUAUUCGAGGUUUAAGUCUGUGACAAGAUAUAGCAAAUUGUAAGUUGUAAAGUAAUUUGAAUAUUGUCGAAUAUAAUUCAUGAAUUUUGAUAAUAGUUGGAACAUUUGAUGUAGAAAUGAGAAUCCUUGACUAUUAUUUGUAUAAGUUAACUUAGGAAUUUUAAUAAAAAUUGUUAAGGGGAGCUAUAAUCUAAGUCUUAGAUAAGUUGAGUAGGAUAAAUAUUAUAUAUGUUAGGCUAUUCAUGAAAUUGUGAUUUUUACUACCUGUUUGGUAUAUAAAUGAAUUCUUGUAAAUGAAAUUGAUCAUUUACUUUUAUAUUGCAAUUUUGUAAAUAAAUCAUUGAAUUCCUUGAUGAUUAGUGAAUUUGCUAGCCCGUGGGCUAUGUUAAGUUAGAAUUUAGGAUUUCUAGGAUGUGACAACUUUUACGAGAUUGGCUAUGUUUUACUUAGUAUGAAUGUUUAAUCUAAGAACCUUUAAAUUAGUCUUCGAAAAUUUGGUCCUUUCAUUAAUAUGGAGAGAGAGAGAGAGAGAGAUACGAGAGACUUGUAUGUAGUUCCUGCUUGAUUUAUGAGAUAUAUUCGUAUAAGUGUGUAGAGUAGUUAAUUCUAAAGCUUUGAAUGUACAGUACAAUUUAAAAGAUAAUAGAUAUGAGUUAAUGGUGAAAGCUAUUUAUGCGUCAUUUGGCUUAGAAAGGUAUAUAUAUAUAUAUGCAUUGAUAAAUCGUAUUAUUUAGAAUAUAAAAUAAAUUUAUGUUAAGCAGUUGAAAUAGUUGGGUGUUAAUGUUGAUGUUUAAAGAGGAUGGGUACUUGACUUAGUUGAUUGCCCGGCAUAUGGGCUAUGUGGAAUGACUAAUUAUGUAGCGAGUAUUUGACAUUAUUUUUAACAAGUGGAUAGUACAAAUUUUAGAGGAGGUGAUGCUGAAAUUUCGAUAGAAUUUAGAUUAGCUAUAACCAAUAGUUGCUGAUAAGAUUAUUAGGAAAUAAAAUCUUCUAAUUCUCUAUUUAAAUAAAGGCUUCUGUCUAAUCCAAACUAGAGCUUCCUUUCUCUUCUAUUACUGUGGUAAUAAUAGAUAGAGCAUUACUAUUUGCUUCAUGCAUAAAGAUACUGCUUAAUUAUUACUUAUUUAAUUUGUUACAUAAACGCUUAUUUCUUUUCUACUUAUUCGUAUAUAUAUGUAUAUUUGUAUAUUUGCAUGAUCUUUAUUCAUAUANNNNNNNNNNNNNNNNNNNNNNNNNNNNNNNNNNNNNNNNNNUAUUUGCCUUGUUUGCGUGGAAUUGGGAUGAAGUGGGUCACUAUGAAUUUUUGAGGGCAGUCUUCGAUACCGUCGGCCAUGUAUGGAGAGAUCGAUGCUCCCGUAUGCAUCUGAUGAUCUGGAUUAUAUGGAAAACCACAGGGCGACCUCCUGUUGGUAUGAAAAGGAAAAGAGGGUAUAAAAAAAAAGGAGAGGGCUGGUCAAGUGAGGAUUAGACGGUUUGGCCAUGUAUGGGGGAUCGGCUCCCUGGUGCACACAUCAUGAGAGGAUGGGCCAUAUGUGGGGAUGGCUCAUCGGGGGUUUCGAUGACGCCACUGACCAAUUUCCACUUGUUUGAUUACCUAAAGGUGUAAUUACUUAUGGAUGCUGAUGAUGUGCCAUUUGCAUGACUGGCUGUGUGUUCAUUUUAGUACUUUAGGAAGCAUUUCGUGUGAAUGCUUGUGUUAUGCAAUAAUUACUAUUUAUCAUUUAACUCACAUUUCUUUUGUUUAACUUUUUCAGGAAGUAGAUUCCUCUUUGUCCCGGCUAAAGCUCUGUUUUCUUCACCGCAGAGCUAGAAAAGAAAUUUCAUAAUUUCAGUAAUUAAUUUAUUAUAUACUUAUAUGUACGAGAACUUGUUAUAUUUAUCUAUUAGUGAACUUCGCAGUUGUAGGAUUGUAUCCGAUAAACAUAAAUGGAUGUCUAGUUAUUUAUUUAUGAGAAUACAUGAACCAAUUAGCCCAUAUUAUGAAUGAUUCGUAUUAUAAUUGGGCUCGAGCUAUAAAAUGUUUAAGUUGCUAGAUUUGGGCCAAAGUAUAACAUAAUUAUGAGAUUUAUUAUGUAUAGCAAUAUGGGCUGAUAAUUUAAAAUUCAUAUUGAUACAGUUGAAUUUUUUAUUUUAGACUUACUACCGGCCUCGGGCGCCUUAAGCUUACCUGGGCCCUAAUGCCGGUCUGGCCCAUGGAAACUAGUCGUGGUAAAAUUAGUAUCAGAGCUUAUGUUAGAAACUUACAAUGUAACUGCAGAGUGUAGGGAAAUCCAUCUUGUCAUUCUCAGUCUCUUUUGCUUCUACUUCAGUGUUUCCAUUGUUAUCGCGGUUAGAGUAAAUCUCUAUCUCAUUGGGUGUAUGUGCUUUUAAAUUUAAUAUACAAGAAGAUAAGUGUAUAGUGUAGAUUAUUACAAUCAUUUUAGAAUAGGUGUGGACUAGGAAUUUCCUUAUGUUAGGAUCGACCGUAACCAAUAUAAAGAAAGAAACUUGGUGAUUUUCCUCCUUAGGGAUGGUGGACGCACGAACCCUAGGAGGUGGGAAAAUCCAUACCCAUUUUGUAAAUCAGUUGACCAUAGAGAGAAGUAAUUAUGGAUCUGAGUGAAAUAUAAUGGACAACAAGAUCAACCUAUCACAGUAUCUACAGGUGCUAAAGCAGGUAUCACCUUUUAGACCUAGGAAUAUAGUAACACUUGGACAGUAGUGGAUUGGCUUGAUCACCUAGUGCACUACUUUUCAUGUGGAAUCUAUUCCUGUCAAUGAGUAGGAUAAUGUCAGGACAUGGAUAGUAAUUUUCAUUUAUGUAAUAGAUUAAUGAAUAGAGAUAUUUAUAACAUUAGUGACUGUGAAAAAAAAUUACUUAAUUAUGUAGACGUGAGUUAUCACCAAAUUGAAAUGGUUAUAUAGUUGAUUGUGGAUGCUUUGGAGUUAGAGGAAUAGGUUAUUUGUAUGUGUAAACCCUUGAUUUUUCUUAUCAUGUCUGAGAUUUUAGAUUGAGAGAUGUAUGACUUUAAGGUCCUCAAUAACUUGUACCCAAGCAUUAGAAUGUGCCAUUGAAGUCGCUUCGAUUUGUUUUAUUUAAAUAUAAACGCUUUUAACUGUUUCUAUUUGCUACUUUGGAUGUAAGAUUUCAAUUUGAUUUUAAGUUUUAUUUACAUUAUGAUAAGUAACUCGAGAAUUGCCUAUUUAUGUGAAAAUUAUAUUAUAAUGACUAUAUAUAAGUGCUAGUUUUUGGAAAGUUGCCUAUAUAUAUCAGGGCUAGUUAACUAAGUCAUGAAGUGAUUACUUGUGGAACUGAUAAUUAGGAUUUCAAAGGAAGAUUUGGAGAAGAAGAUUAAUGGACUAAAUGAUGGUAAUGGGUAAAUACUACUCUUAAGUUUAUAAAUCCACAGAUAUGACUAGGAGAUUUAAUUAGUUAAGACCAAAAUCUAAAUAUUGGAUCUAUGGUAAGGAAAAAUAUGGAAGUUUUAAUUUAGAAUAUGAAUGGUUUAGUUUAAUAAGUGCAUCUUAGAAAAUAAGUUAGAAUUUUUACAUUCAUAUAGAAAUAAUUAAUUAGAAAUGGUGAUUUUGACAGUACUUAGAUUUGAAAGGUUUUAGAUUAUCAUAGGUGGUAAAUAAAUUAAUUAGCAUAUGGAUACUAGUUUAGAUUAGGUAAAAACGGUACCUUUUGAUUGACAGCAACUGAUUGGAGGAACUCCAUGAGUUUUGAUUGAAUUGAACUUAACCUAUCUUUCUUUUUAUUACCCUUAUAUGCUCUUUGCUUAUUAUAUAAUCUCUCCCAUGUUUACUUCUAAAUUCGAGGAUGAAUUUUUUUUAAAGGGGAAAGAUUGAAAUGACCCUGAAAACCUUUUUCAAAAAAUUUUGCAUUUAAAAAUUUAGUUGUAAAUUUUAACUAAUGAAAUUUAGCAAAAAAUAUUUUAUUAUUGCUAAACCAAACCUAUAAACUAGUUUGGAGUUUUUGAAAACAAAGUGAAAAACUCGUAAACUAAGCAAAAACCAGAGUCAAAUCACUAAAUUAGACCAAAUCGAUUCGAAUUGAACCGGAAUAGUCUAGAAACCAACCUUUUUUUUCCUUUCACUUCUUCUUCUUUCCUCGGCUCCAGCGCCCGCCGCUCCUCCCUUCCCGUUUCUAGCCACCGUUGACGAGUGCGAGGUGGCGAUCGACUCCCUUAGAGUAGCUGGUCCCUUUUUCGCCAUCCUUUUAUGCAAGCAGAGCCUCUAGUGGCGCAAAUCGAGAUUGUCUCCAUUGACAGUUCUUGUUCUUUGAUCUCCGAUAAUACCAAGCGACUAAGGCAACAUGAAGCUUCAAAGUGAAUCUUGAUCGACUCAGCUCUCCACACAAACAUUUUUCAUCUAAAAAUCGACAGAUUUAGCGGAGGAAAAGGAAAAACCACGAUGAGCGGCGGCAUGGAGAUGGCUGUGGCAGUCAAUCCAGCCAAACGAGCCACUAACUCCUCAAAACCACACCAUAUUCGGCUUCUACAAAUGAUUUCAAGCAUUUUGGCGUGCAGGUUGCUUGAUUCUAGGUUGUUUUGGAUUUUUCGGUCACUGUAGACGGUGGUGCCAGCGACGCCCCAAGAGACAGAAUCCUCAGCUCCAAAUGUAGAUUGCAAUGGUAUAUGCCAAUCAUCAUUCGAUAAGCAAUAGAACCCUUAUUCGAAGUUAAUUGCAAUUUUAUGGUUUAUUUCUCUUUAGGAUUUGAACUUGAUCUUUGACUAUUCAAGUUUCAAUAAUGUAGCUGGUAAGUCGAUCUUAAAUUUAAUUUGGCAAUAUAAAUUCAGGUCUGAAUUAGUAGAUAAUGUGAGUAAGUUUUCAUUGAACUAAUUAUUAUUCGAGGUUUAAGUCUCUGACAAGAUAUAGCAAAUUGUAAGUUGUAAAUUAAUUUGAAUAUUGUCGAAUAUAAUUUAUGAAUUUUGAUUAUAGUUAGAAGAUUUGAUGUAGAAAUGAGAAUCCUUGACUAUUAUUUAUAUAAGUUAACUUAGGAAUUUUUAAUAAAUAUUGUUAAGGGAAGCUAUAAUCUAAGUCUUAGAUAAGUUGAGUAUGAUAAAUAUUAUAUAUGUUAGGCUAUUGAUGAAAAUUGUGAUUUUUACUACCUGUUUGGUAUAUAAAUGAAUUAUUGUAUAGGAGUAUUUAGACCAUUUACUUUUACAUUGCAAUUUUGUAAAUACAUCAUUGAAUUCCUUGAUGAUUAGUGAAUUUGCUAGACCGUGGCCUAUGAGUUUAAGUUAGAAUUUAGGAUUUCUAGGAUAUGACAACUUUUACGAGAUUGGCUAUGUUUUACUUAGUAUGAAUGUUUAAUCUAAGAACCUUUGAACUAGUCUUUGAAAAUUUGGUCCUUUCAUUGAUAUGGAGAGAGAGAGAGAUAUGAGAGACAUGCAUGUAAUUCCUGCUUGAUUUAUGAGAUAUAUUCGUAUAAGUGUGUAAAGUAGUUAACUCUAAAGCUUUAAUGUACAGUACAAUUUAAAAGAUAUUAGUUAUGAGUUAAUGGUGAAAGCUAUUUAUGUGUCAUUUGGCUUAGAAAGGAUUAUAUAUAUAUAUAUAUACCAACAAAACAAGCGUGUUUUAUGACUAGAAACAACUAGAAAUUGACCAUCAAUGACUAAAGACCUAUGACUAUAGACUAUAGACUUUAAUUAAUGAACAAAAGACUUUAGACUUAUAAAAGACUUUAAAAAUAAAAGACUAAAGACUUUGAAAAUAAAAUGAUAAAGACUUGAAGACUUUAAAAACAAAGACUUACUUAUGCUUUUAUUGUUUAUCGUAUAUAGACUUAUGUUUUCCAACAAAAACUUAAAGUUGAUAAAGACUUAAGCUUUUUAAUUUUUAUUGUAUAAAGACUUUAAAACUUAAUUUUAAACAAAGUCAUAUAUAUGUAGAGCGCUAAGAUUAUUACUAGGAUUUAAAUAAAUACAGAUACAAACAUUUAAAGAUAAAUCAUAACUGUGAACUAAAAUACUAUGAUUAAUUGGGUUUAUAUGAAUACUUAUAUAAUUCAUUAAGUAUAAUUUUACUUCAGAAUCAACAUACAGUUUACACAAUAUUUCUGAUGUGGAAGAUCAGACUAAGCUGCAUCCACAGAGCAUACUUAUAACAAAUUUAAUCAACAAUUUAGCACAAAGG
rnacentral:lncRNA from 1 species